AUUCAUAAUGGAUUAUAACUUGAUCUCAUUCUUACCCUUUUUUCUAUAUUCAUUGAGUUUCAUCCUUUUUGUUUCACAGUUUCUAAAAGUGAGAAACAUAUCCAAAACCUCAGUGAAAACAUUGAAGCUUCCCCCAGGGCCAUGGAAGCUACCUGUCAUUGGAAGCUUACACCACUUAGUUGGCUCACUACCACAUCAUCGGUUGAGAGAACUUGCUAAAAAACAUGGUCCUCUCAUGCACCUACAACUUGGUGAGUCAUCAACCGUUGUGGUUUCUUCUCCAGAAGUAGCCAAAGAUGUCAUGAAAACCUAUGAUGCCAUCUUUGCUCAAAGACCGCAUCAAAUUGCCGCAGACAUCAUGUGUUAUGGUUCCACUGACAUUGCCACUGCACCAUAUGGGGGGUAUUGGAAGCAGCAAAGAAGAAUAUGCUCACAAGAGCUUCUAAGCAACACACGUGUGAGGUCAUUUCGAUCAAUAAGAGAAGAAGAAAUGCUGAAUUUUUUAAGAUAUAUUGAGUCCAUCACUGGUUCUAGUGUGAACCUCAGUGAGAAACUGUCACGCAUGACAAAUACCAUCACUGCAAGGGCAGCUUUUGGUGAAAAUUGCAAGGAUCAAGAAGAGUUCAUUUCCCUUGUCAGGAAACUUAUAAAAAUGGCCGAGCGUUUAAUUAUUUCUGAUUUGUUCCCUUCUCACAAAUGGCUUCAUCUGGUCAGUGGGGAGAAUCUUAAAUUGGAGGAGUUGCACAGAAAAUAUGAUGUAAUAAUUGGAAACAUCAUUACAGAGGCAGAAAAAAAUAUUGGUGAAGUAGAGGUUAAUACUCUCCUCUCAGUUCUUCUAAAUUUGAAACAUCAAGGUGCCCUCGAAUAUCCUUUGACAAUCGAUAACAUCAAGGCUGUAAUGUUUGUAAGUGUGUCCAUUUCUUUCAGUUAUUAUUUUCUUAUGUUACUGCAUAUUAUAGGAUUUAAGACCGACUUUCAUUUCCUGUUAAUAUAAAAUUAAAUAAACAAAAGCACAAAAAAUUUCAUCUAGAGUUAUAAUAUUGUGAAUGUAACUACAUACACUCAUAUAACUCUAUAAAUAUUUUUUCUUAGGUGUUACCUUUUUCUGUGAAAGUUUUGUAAGUUAUGCUUGCAAGUAUAAAUUCCAAAGCUAAUAAAUUUGAAUUGAUUUUCCUGUAGAACAUGUUUGCUGCUGGAACUAAUUCAUCACCUUCAGUCAUGUCAUGGGCAAUGUCAGAGAUGUUGGAAAACCCAAAAGUAAUGAACAAAGCUCAGGAAGAAGUUAGAAGAGUUUUUGGUAGUAAAGGAUAUAUGAAUGAAGAAUCACUUGAAGAACUAAAAUACCUGAAAGCAGUGAUAAAAGAAACACUAAGAUUGCACCCUCCCAAUCCUCUUCUUCUUCCAAGGGAAUGUAGAGAAACUUGUGAGGUGAAAGGAUAUACAAUACCCGUUGGGACCAAAGUGAUAGUAAAUGCAUGGGCAAUCAACAGAGACCCUGAUUAUUGGAAUGAUCCAGAUAAGUUUUAUCCCGAGAGAUUCAUGAACAGUGAAGUCGAUUUUAAAGGGUCCCAUCAUCAAUUCAUACCCUUUGGUGCUGGAAGGAGAAUGUGUCCUGGAAUGUCUUUUGGGAUAAAUAUAAUUGAACUUUGUCUUGCAGAACUACUUUACUAUUUUAAUUGGGAACUUCCAUAUGGAAACAAGAAAGACUUGGAAAUGACUAAAGCUUUGGGAGCCAUCCCAAUUAGGAAAACGGAUCUGGUCUUGGUUCCCAUUUCUUACAAUCCUCUUCCUUAAAUUUUAAUCAUUUAAGUGUUUAUAUACCACAUUUCACCGUUGUCCUUGUACCUCUUUUUUUUUUUUUUUUUAUGUUACUUGUGUGUUAGGAUAUUGUGAGUGAAUGAAAAUAAGAUGUGAAGUUUAUCUUCUUCAAAAAAAAAACACUCAUUUUAUUUAAGGCUUUUUUUCCCUAUUUGCUUCUUUUAUCUUUGAGAUGCUUUCUAAUUUUUUAGACUAGUGCAAUUCUUCAUUUAACUUUAUCAUGUUUUAUAUGAAAUGCUAAAAUAAACUUUUAAAUUAGACCAACGGUCAAUAUGAAAUACUAAUUAAUAGCAACAACCCUAAAGUAAUUAUGUCUCAUGAAAUUGUUACGAGUUUGUAAGAAGAAUCAAUCCAUCAUAAAUAUUUUAGGAAAUAUAGUGACAAGGGUAAUUGCUAAAUUUUAUGAUGAAAUUUUAAUGUUUGUAACAAAUGAUUAGAAAAUAAUAUUUGUAGAUUUUUGGAUUAUAUUGUGACUAGCUACUUCACCACAAUGAUAAUUUGAAGUUUUUUAGUGUUGAAAACUUGUGACAACUACACUUUUUUUAUUGUAGUAAUAAAAAUAAUUAAUAAUAGAAGGAAUGUUCCUCUUAUGUUGGGAUUUAGUUACCUGUCCAACAACUACACAAUAAUGUUUUAUAAAAGUGUUCGAUCAAUGGAAGAAGAAGAGUGAUUUUUAUGAUAUGUUAUGAAAUUAAUUUAUUUUCUUCUAAUUUUGUAAUCAAUUAGUUUAUCAGUUCUAAAUUGAUGAAAAAAAAAAAGAUUCAAAUAUAUAACGUUAACGGAAAUUUGUUAUCUUUUCAUAGUAUAGUAAUGUUUUCUGACUCAGUUUCCAAACUUUUCCAUCUUAAUCGCAGAUUAAAGAUUUACUUAGAUCAACAUAAUAUGGAAAGGAAAAGAUUUAAGACUUCAAUUUAUUUGUUACAACUUAGGUAUGUUAUUAUUUAUUGGAACAUAGUAAUGAGGGACAUGUAAAGUUGUAUUUGACAUUUAAAUGAAAUUCGUUUCAAUUUGUACAAAAUAUGUUCAUUAUCUAAUGGUAAUAAACUUAGACAAAAUUAUUGUUGUUAAAAUGGAUUAAAUUUAAGAAAAGUUGUAUAAGAAGUUCAACACAGCUACUCAAUAUUACUUUAUCAUUUAUUCAUUGUGGUCUUAUUUCAGAAAAUAAAAGCAAUAUUAAAAAGUUAAUUCAUAUCACUAUUUUUGUAUCUAUUCCUGAUUUAAAUAGAUCUUUGUUAUCCUUUUUCUCUUGUAUAUUUGCUUCUAGAUCAUAAAUUUCUCACGACCUUUUUAAAUCCUAUUUUGAUAACUAUUUUCCAUUUUUAAUAUAAAAGAAAAUAUUUGAUAAGGAGUAGUUUUUGAAAACUAUUUUAAAGUAGUAUCAAUUUUUUAGUUUCUGAUAUAAAAAACCAGAAGAUCUCUAAAUUGUUUUGGUUUUCUACUUGUAGUUUUCUAUUUUUUAUGUUCUUCCUUACACUGCCCCCAACUCUUCCCUCACUCCUAUUCACUAAAAAUUAGUAUUUGAAAAUUGUUUUAUAAACUAAAAAAAAGAAAUCAAACACAUUCUUCCUCUCUUGGUUUUUAAUUUUGGCUGUACAACACAACUUUUAAUGAAUAGAUUUACGGAUAAUUCCUAUAUAUAAAUACUUCUAGCAGCAUACUUGGAUUAUAUUUGUCAUUCUAUUUUAUAGAGUGGUGGUAUAAUGCAUUCGAGUUUAUUGAUACAUAUUGGAGCCUUGGCAAUUGUUAUUCGACAAACAAAUAUUAUAUGGGUGUUUCUUGUUGCAUGCACUGGGAUCAUAAAUAUUUCUGACUCAUGGAAAGUAAAAUACAAAAUCUAUCAAGUUUGAUGUGUCUGACAAGCAUGGUUUAGAAUAUGUUACUGGUACUAAAACAAAGGGUUCCAAUAUGAGAAAGCGAAAAGUUGUUAAAUCUGGCAAUACUAUCGAACACGCAUCAUCACGUGAUUCUUCUCCUUCCUCUUACUUAGGUUUGUUUUCACAUGUUUAAGAAAACCAUUAGUUCUAUUUUAUGACCCUAAGAAAAUAAAAUAACUAAAUAACUGUAGAUAAAAUAAAGUUAAUCCCAUCCUCUGACAACCUUUUUUAAAUAUAUAGGACUGGUUUUUUGCAAUAUAUAACAACAGCAAAAUAUGUUCAAUAGCAACACAAAACACAAAUCGAGUCCCAGAAACCAAACAUGUGAACACACAUACUGAUCAAAGUCGACGUAUUAGAACUCUAAUAUAAUAAAGACUAAUGUAUCAUAAUUAUGAUAUAUUAAAGACAUUGAUUUAGCAAUCAUUAAUUGUGUGUGUGAAGACUUAGCAUGUGGUUGGAUGGAUGUUAAUAUCUGUGUGAAGACUUAGCAUGUGGUUGGAUGGAUGUUAAUAUCUGUGGAUCCUCGGUUAUUAAAACAGAUGUCAAUAUCUGUUUGUCCUUCAUGCUGAAGAUAAUGCCUAACAACAAUAACAAGAUUACUUUUCAUUACCCUUCUAAUAUCCAUAUCUAAAAGUGGUGUAAUGUCCCUCAUUAUCUAAUUGCCAUGUAGAUAUUAAGAUUAUUUUUAAGGAAGGAAUAUGUAUGACAUUAUUCAAAUUCCACAUGUUUCCAUUAGAUGUUUCAAUGUUAAUAUCAUAUCUUCCCACAAUAUCAAGAAAUUUUCCAACUGCAAGAUAUAUCUUUCCCAAACAUUCCUAAAACAUAGAUAAUAGUUCUAAGGAAAAGUGUAGUAUAGAUGCACCUAAGUCCACAAUCCAUAAGUCAAUGUAACUAUCUAAACUAAAUAUUAGUGCAUUUGCAAUUUCAUUAGUGUUUGCAUUUGCUGUUUGAUCAUCAUCUUUUUUCUUUUUGUUAUUGUUCUUCCUUGAAGAUGAACAUUGAUUAGUAAAGUGACUCUUUUUCUUACAAUUUCAACAAGUGAUAUCAUUUCAGAAUUUUUGUUGUGAUCUCCCUCUAGACUUUGGUCUAUCUUGGCCUUUAUUACAACCUUUCUUCUUCUAAUUGCACUACUCAAUGUUGAACCAGAAUUAGAACUAGAAGAUUUCACUAAACGUUUCUGGCCAACAUCUUCGCUUAAGAUCAAGUCACAAAUACUAUAAAAUUUUAACUUGUUAUCACUUGUAGAAUUACUAACUUUAGUAACAGUUGUACCCCAACUUUCCAAAAGAGAUGAUAAUAAAACCAAUGUUUUCACCUUAUCAUCAAAAGUUAUCUACAUCGAUGUCGAUUACGCAAUAAUUAUAUUAAAUUCACUAGUAUGAUGAGUAACCGAGUUACCUUAACCCAUUUUUAGGUUGACUAAAUUACGAAUCAAAUACACUUUAUUGGAUGUAGAUUAAUUCUCAUACAUAUUUGAUAAUGCCUACAUCAAAUCUAUAGUUGUUUUGUCGUUCAUGAUGUUGAACGCAACAUGUUGGCAUAAAGCUAAAGAGAAGAAGUUUUGAUGAUGUAUCAAAGUCAAGUCUCAAAGUGCUCUUGUCUCAAGAAGACCUUCAUGAAUACUUGUUUUGUGUUAAAGCUUUUGUAAGUUAGUAGAUUUAUGUAUAUGAUGUGAUUUAUCUUUGAUUCUAUAUAUUGUUUGCCUUAGCUUGCGUUAAAAUUUGUUUUAAAUAAAAAAACUUUAUUUUAUACUGAAGAUAAUAUAUUAUCAACUUAUAAUAAUUGAUUAUAAGUAAUCGAUUAUGACUAGCCAUAAUCGCUUAUCACGAGUAAUUAUGAGAAUUUUUAAACAAGUAUUUUACUAUUGUGCAUACAUUAAAUGCAUAAUUGAUUACCAUAAGUGGAUAAUCGAUUAUCACACGUUAAUUAGAUGACUACGAAUUUUUCGAGGAAUCCAUAAGUGAGAUCUCUAUAAAUUGGAUUGAGACUCUCAUUCUAAAAUACGAAAUACUUUGUAUUUAAAAUGGGGGUUGCUCCCUCCACCUCCUCUGUUUGCUUCUUCCACUUCCUCCUUCCUCUUUUACUCUUUCCUCUAUUUUUUUAUUCCUAUUAUAUCCUUUUCGUAAAAUUUAUUUUUGAAGUUAAAAUUUUCCAGGAUAAGCGACCACAACCCCGUGAAACCUCUCUCUAAACGAAUAUGAGGAUCCGUCAACGGAUGUCAACAUUCAUUUAAGAUAAAAACGAAUGUCGAAACCCGUUUUACCUUAAACGGAUGUUAAGGUCGGUAGACAGAUCCUCAUAUCCGUUUAAGGGAGGAAUGAACGUUACUCCCUUCACACCAUUGAAUCAUCACGCCAUCAUCAAACGAUCCAAGAGCAGAAGCACAGCGUCACUGCCAUCAUCACGCGCCUUCAUCAUCUUCAUCACAAAUUUGACGCGCAUCUCCUUCGCGCACGAUCACCACCCUCACAGAAUCACCACGACCACCUAACUGAAACAAAUUCAGGAACCCUAAUUUCAAAUCUCAAAUUGCAAUAACAAUUUGCAAUCACAGAAACACUAAAUUACAACCACCAAUCUGCAAAGAAAACAGAUGAAUCAAACCCCAGAAAUCCCCAAUUCAAUUUUAGAAAACCCAAUUUCGACAAAACCCCAAGGUUGACAUUUUGAAUGACAAUGUUGCUUCCCCAACAAUGAAACCUCAGAACCAGAAGAAAUUUUUGGGAAAGAAGAAGAGUUCUUGCAAUGCCCCAAAUCGAAACCUUCACUCACAAGUUCGGUUGCCGCGAAACCACCUGAUAACAAAGGCCACCACACCGCAAACGCAAUCACGCUCUUCUCCUCCACGACGUUGUCAUCAAACAAGGCUUCUCGCAUCACGAAGACGUUGAAUAUGGACCCAUGGCUUCUGGUCCAGACUAGCGGUUGUAUCUAGUUGGGGAUGAAAACGAGUACAGAGUUGGUGGGGGGCUAAUAUCCAAGCUUAGAGACCCUGUAGUGAAGGCAAUGACGACAACCAAGGAAUUUGAUGCUCUUGAUGAGAUUGAGGAAGAGGAAGAUGUUGAACGAGAACGGCUGAAGGAUGAGAGAAAGCAGCGUGAAGAAAUUGAAAAGCUUGAAAAGAGUGGCACCUAGUAAUAGGCUUUCUAGAUGUUUUUCUUCUGAUUUAUUUUCUAUAUGAUUGCAGGAGUUGAUGUUAUUUACAACACAUUUUGUUUUGUAUCAGUUCGAGUUUUCCCUAUAUUUAGAAUCCCUUGUAUAAAAAAUGGCCAAAUUUAUCUGAACCAAAGUUGAGAAAAUAAAGCUGACAAGGAUCAACGUGCACUGGAAUGGACUCAGCAUCUCUCAGUUUUGAUGUUGCAUUGUCUCAAAUGUAUAACCCUUGCCCACGAUAUGGUUACUAUCCUGGUAAAUAACUUAAAUAAAAAAGUGUAAAAAAAUAAAAAGGUUAAAAAAGUAAAAGAAAAAAAAUGAUAUUUUUGUAAUAAAAUAAAAAAAGUUGAAACUUGGGGAGGUGGAGGGUGGAAAAGGGGAGGUGGAGGGAGCAACACCCAUUUAAAAUUCUUAUUUAUUGUGUGAUGUGAUAAGUAUUCUAGGGAUUAUGUAACCUUUGUGCAUUGGCUUUGAGAACUUGGUGUUCUAUCCUUAAACUGUGUUAUUUUCUUUGUGAUGGUAACAAUUUGUUGGUUUGUGAUAGUGAAGCGUUAAUUCUCGUUUGAGAUUAACAACUAGAUGUAGGAUUUAUGUGAUCUGAACCAAUAUAAAAAUCACCUAUGCAAUUUUCUCUCUUCUUUACUCUUUUAUUUGUUUAAAUUGUUAUUAAGGAAUUUAUAUUUUACGAGAAAAUUAUUAAAGGUAUUAUUUGCGAUAAGAAACAAAUUCACCUUCUUCUUGGUUUGUUGUACACGCUAACCAUUCCGUUGCACCUCGGAUCACACCGAGUGUCUACCCAUCUAACAAAUCCCAAUAUGACUCUCCAUGUCGUCUGACUUUUGUCUUGUUAAGGAUAGAUACAACUUCUUCUGAUAUAGGUAGUCCUCUAUCUGUAUCUUCCGAAACCUGAAGUCACUGUCAUCGAACUUCUCAAUCUUCACAUUCCUUUCUUUCAAUGUCAUUGCUCUCGUUGCUUUUGAAGAAAGUUCCCACUACUUUUCUAAACUAAGAUUCCUAAGAAAAAAAAAAAACAAAUCUUUUCUUAUGUGAAAUAUCAGAUAAAGAUGCAACCAAAGAGUAUACUAAGAAAUUGUUCCUUGAUACCAGUUAAUAGGAAGAAGACAAUAAAAAAGAGAAAAAUAAACGACACAAGAAUUUAACAUGGUUCAACAUACAAUGUGUUUUGUCCAUUACUACAUUAGGAAGUAUUUGUGUUUCAGUGUGUAUUUUAAGCUUUGCAGUUGCUUAAUAUGGUAAAAUGAAAAACAAGCUCACAAUACUAAAUGAUGUAAGAUUAAAUUAAGCUCCACAAUACUAACAUUUUCACUACAAAAUAUCAAUGUUUUAAUAAAAGUUGGUGUUCUAUGACAACAACUAAAACUAAGAGAAUCGUCUCUCAAUUGAAAACGAAUUUCAUAUAUAACUAACAAAAGAUGUUUACAUUUUUCUUUAAGAAAAGUAUAUAAAUAGACUUCAAAAAAAACCCUUAAAAUAUUUCAAAUCCCAAAUUUAUAGUCGUAUUAAGAUAAAAUAAAAGAAAAAUUGUAUACAAAAUUGAAAAAUUAUUAUCAUUAUGAUUUUCUAAAAUAAAAAUUAUACAAACAAUGUGAAGGCUUUUUAGUUCAGCUCUCAUUUUCCAUUUUGUUUAUAUUAGUUAUUUUGGAUGUUAUAUUUAUAUUAGUUAUUAAAUCUAUGUAAGUACUUACUAAUAUAGAAAAAUGAUGAGUUUUCAAGAUCAAUUAAAGUUGUGAUCUUACAUCAUACAGAGAAAUGAAAAUAUAUAAGUGGUUAUAAACUUUAAUUUACAAACUCAUAUUUUUAAAAAAAUAAUUGAGUUAAACUUAUAGUUUAUCUUCAUAAAUUCUUUUCUGAGUCAUUUAGGAGUUUAUCAUCACCGGUAAUUAAACUUAUCAUAUUAUUUGUGUGAAUAAAAUAAAAUUAAAGUAAUUUUUUGACCAUCAAUAAAAAUAUCGUUAAUGAAUCUAUUAAUUUUCAAAGCUAAAAAAUAAUCGUUCACAACAUCAAUAAUAGAGCAAAUCAUUCUCCAAAAUACACUAAUUAAUCCAAACCAUUGCUUCCUUAAUGAACAAGCCAACGAAUAAAUCAACAUGCCUAAAGUCAAUGAACAAACGAUGUGCCUAAGGGUGUGUUCACUUCAACCUGAGUAUAUAUUCUAUCACUAAGUAAUGCAAAACAUGGUAAUAUCUAAUAAAACAGUUCAUUAGAGACUUUUAAAACCGUUCCCAAAUCAUUGCAUAAUCAAUAAGAAAUCGUUAAUGUUGAUUUAAACUUAUAAAUAUUAUAAAUAGGGAUCUUUCUUCAAAAACAUAUCACAUAGAAAAGGACUAGACCUCAAUUUGUUGAGGCUAAAAACUAAUUAAUAUUUUUUAAAAUAAACGUGUACAAUACUAACUUAAAAGCCAAUAUUGAUUUGUUUUUUCAUUUGACUUAAAUAUAAUUUUGCUGUCUCUAUUUAACUUAAUUCGUAAGAUAAAUAAAUAGAUCUUCAUAUUGUUUUAAAAUCUUAUAAUUUUAUCGUAUCUUUUAAUUUUACGUAUAUUUUACAUUUUAAUUAACUAUAUUAUUUAUAAUAAUACCGGAAAUGAACACUUAACCCAUAGUCCUAUUAAGAUAAAAUAAAGGAAAUAAAAUUUGCAAAAUUGAAAAAUUGGUUAACAUUAUAAUUUUCUAAAAUAAAAAUUAUGCAAACAUUAGGGAGGAUAUUUACUUAACUGUUUUUUCUAAUUUUAUUUUAUAUUAGCGGUUUUGGGAUAUUUUUAUUUCAUAUUAGUCACUAAAUCUCAAGUUAUUUAAACAACAACCCAUUGAUGAUACAAUAUUGGUGUGGAGCAAAAGUUCUAUAUAAACCUCUAACUCUAUGUUCACUUGCCACAAAAAUUCAUAAUGGAUGAUCAUUUGAUCUCAUUCUUACCCUUUUUUCUAUAUUCAUUGAGUUUCAUCCUUUUUGUUUCACAGUUUCUUAAAGUGAGAAACAGAUCAAAAAACUCAGUGAAAAGAUUGAAGCUUCCCCCAGGGCCAUGGAAGCUUCCUAUCAUUGGAAGCUUACACCACUUAGUUGGCUCUCUACUACAUCAUCGGUUGAGAGAACUUGCUAAAAAACAUGGUCCUCUCAUGCACCUACAACUUGGUGAGUCAUCAACCGUUGUGGUUUCUUCUACAGAAGUGGCCAAAUAUGUCCUGAAAACCUAUGAUGCCAUCUUUGCUCAAAGACCCCAUCGAAUUGUCACACAAACCAUGUGUUAUGAUUCUACUGACAUUGUCACUGCACCAUAUGGGGGUUACUGGAAGCAGCAAAGAAGAAUAUGCUCACAAGAGCUUCUUAGCAACACACGUGUGAGGUCAUUUCGAUCAAUAAGAGAAGCAGAAAUGCUGAAUUUAGUAAGAUAUAUUGAGUCCAAAACUGGUUCUUUUGUGAACCUCACUGAGAAAGUGACAUGCAUGACAAGUGCCAUCAUUGCAAGGGCAGCUUUUGGUGAAAAAUGCAAGGAUCAAGAAGAGUUCAUUUCCCUUAUCAAGAAAAUUGUAGAAAGGGCCGAACGUCUAUUUAUUUCUGAUUUGUUCCCUUCUCAAAAAUGGCUUUAUGUUAUUAGUGGGGAGAAAACUAUGGUAGAGAAAGUCCACAGAAAAUAUGAUGUAAUAAUUGAAAAAAUCAUUACAGAGGCAGAAAAAUGUAUUGGUGAAGUAGAGGUUAAUACUCUCCUCUCAGUUCUUCUAAAUUUGAAAAAUCAAGGUGCCCUCGAAUAUCCUUUGACAACCGAUAACAUCAAGGCUGUAAUGUUGGUGAGUGUGUGCAUUACUUUCAGUUAUUAUUUGCUUAUGUUACUGCAUAUUAUAGAAUUUAAGACCAACCUUCAUUUCAUGUUAAUAUAAAAUUAAAUAAACAAAAGCACAAAAAAUUUCAUCUAGCGUUAUAAUAUUGUGAAUAUAACUACACAGACCCAUAUAAAUAUGUCUUCUUACGAGUUGCCUUUUUAUGGGAAAGUUUUGUAAUAAAUUUUAAUUGAUUUUCCUGUUGUAGAACAUUUUUGCUGCUGGAACUGAUACAUCAUCUGCAGUCAUAGUACGGGCCAUGUCAGAGAUGUCGGAAAAUCCAAAAGUAAUGAACAAAGCUCGGGAAGAAGUUAGAAGAGUUUUUGGAAGCAAAGGAUACAUGAAUGAAGAAUCACUUGAAGAACUAAAAUAUCUGAAAGCAGUGAUCAAAGAAACACUAAGAUUGCACGCUCCCAACCCUCUGCUAGUUCCAAGGGAAUGUAGAGAAACUUGUGAGGUGAAAGGGUAUACAAUACCUGCUGGGACCAAAGUGAUAGUAAAUGCAUGGUCAAUUGGAAGAGACCCUGAUUAUUGGAAUGAUCCAGAUAAGUUUUAUCCAGAGAGAUUCAUGAACAGUGAAAUCGAUUAUAAAGGGUCCCAUCAUGAAUUCAUACCCUUUGGUGCUGGAAGGAGAAUGUGUCCUGGCAUGUCUUUUGGGAUAAAUAUCAUUGAACUUUGUCUUGCACAACUGCUUUACUAUUUUAAUUGGGAACUUCCAAAUGGAAACAAGGAAAACUUGAAAAAGACUAAAGCUUUGGGAGCCAUCUCAAGAAGAGAAGGAGAUCUAGUCUUAGUUCCCAUUUCUUACAAUCCUCUUCCUAUUUCAUCAAACCUUAAAUUCUAAUCAUUAUUAAAUGGAAAAUAAAAUUUUAACACCAUUUUUUGACAUUAUUUUGACACUGUACACGUGUCAAAAUAUGGUUGGACGAUUUCAAAUUAAAAAACAACCUUUGGUUUUUUUCUUCCAAACAUACCCUUAUCUCAACUUUUUUAAUUUGAAAUCGUCCAAUCACAUUUUGACACGUGUGCAGUGUCAAAAUAGUGUCAAAAAAUGGUGUCAAAAUAUCAUUUUCCUUAUUAAAUUGUUUACAUGUCAUAUUUCCCCGUUGUCCUUGUUCCCUUUCUUUUAUGUUACAUGUGUGUUAUGAUAUUGUGAGUGAAUGAAAAUAAGAUGUGAAGUUUAUCUUCUUCAUGAAACAUUCAUUUUAUUAAACGCUUGUUUUCCCUAUUUGCUUUUUGUAUAUUUAAGAUGGUUUCUUAUUUAUUAUUUAUUGGAACAUACUACUGAGGUACAACAUGUAAAGUUGUAUUUCACAUUUAAAUGAAAUUCGUUUCAAUUUGUACAAAAUGUUUUCAUUAUCUAAUGGUAAAUAAACAUAGACAAAAUUAUUGAUGUUAAAAUGGAUUAAAUUUAAGAAAAGUUGUAUAAGAAGUUUAACAUAGCUACCACCUUAUUUGUUCAUUAUUCAUUACUCUCUAGUAGAGUUAUCAAUUGGACUUAUGACUCAUGGAUUAAUCCUAACUCACGUUUGAAAAAGUCCACUCUUAGAAGGUUCUCUCAAGUGGGACCAAAACAAAACCACAAUCCCUAAGUUCCUCUCAAACUCGUUAGGGUCAAAGUUAAGGCAGACUUGAUCCUACUACAAUAUUUUAAUUAAUUCUUAGAAAUAAUAUCAUUCAUUCACACAUAUUAUAUAUUUUAUUAAAUAUUUUAAUAUGUAGAAAUAAUAUGAUUUAUUUAUACACAUUAUAUAUUUUAUUAGAUAGUCUAAUAUAUAGUAAUUUUAUUAUAUUUAAAUUAAUAUUUUUAUAUCAUACUUAUUAUUAUUUUAUUAAACAAAAUAUAUAAUUUAUAUUUUAAUAUAGUUAAUUAUCAUAAUCUAUUUAUUAAUUUUAUCAAUUUCUUAAAAAAUAAAACUUUAUAAUAUUAAGUCCAGUGAAGAACAUGGAAUCUAGUAUAAAUGUGAGAAAAUUGAAUUAAUUUUAAUAAAUUCACCCUAUUUUUUAUAAUAUAUAUAUAUAUAUAUAUUUAUUUAUUGAUUAUUAAAAAAAUAAAUAUUUGGUAGAAUUUAAAUAUAAAUUUAAGUCAUAUAAAAAAAAGAAACAACAUAGAAUAAAAAGUUGUAUAAACUAAUUAUUCAUAAAUUUAUUAUUUUAAACUUUCAAAUUGAUAUGUUUUAUUUAGUUUUGAUUUAGAUCUAGAUUAUUUUUUCAAACAACAAAAUAUCUUAUAUACUUUAAAAAUAAGUAUAGUUAGUAAAAGAAAAUUAAAUAUAUUUAGUCACUCAAGGAUUUUAAUGUCCUAUGUUGUUUUGUAAUUUUUCUAUAUAAGAAGUAACCAAAUUUAUUGACAUCUCUUACAAAGUCUAUGUUAGUUUGAUUAAAAUGUUUGUAUAUAAUUCUUUGACAAACUAAAAGUACUUAGAUUUGCAAAAAAUUAAGAGUUAAUUGCAUUUUUUCUUAUAUUCAAAAUGAAUAUUUCUUAUGAAAAGAAGGUUUGUGGACUAGUCCUGACACACAGGUUUCAAUUGGGAUUUUUUGAUCGUAUGAGUUUUUCUAGCCAUAAUCCAUAUAUCAGUUAGGAUCAAAUCAUGUGAAUGGGUCAAAUUGAUAGAUGUGCUCCUAAAACAGUGAGCUUAUUCAACUACUUUGUGUUCAUACAAAUUAUUGUUGUUAAAACCUUAGAACAAAUUAAAUUUAGGAAAGUAUGUACAAAAAGUUCAACAUAGUUACCCCUUAUUUUUUUCAUUCUUCCCCAAUUCUUUUUUAUGUGUGGUUUGAUAGGAUUUUAGCAAAACAAUGGGCCUAUUCAACCACUUUGUGUUCAUAUAUUAAUAAUGUGAUGACCAUUGUGGUAGAUAAGAAAUACAUCCAAAUGGUAAUACUGUACUUUAAAAAAAACACUUAUUGUUCGUAUAGUUGUAUAAAUAAUUCCUAUUUCUAGUUUGCAUUUUUGGUAUUCAACAGUUCUAUUUGAACUUAUACUCUUAGAGUAAUGUCUUCGGAGGAGAGAAAAUAUUGAAGAAUAGAAGAACAAAUAUGGAAAAUUUAUAUUAAUAUAGGUUUAAAUCCUUUUUUGAUCUCUAAGUUAUAAGUUGGUGUUCAGUUUAGUCCUAGCUUUUAAAAAUGUAAACCUUUGGUCCUUAAGUUAUAAAAAAUGUAUCAAAUCAGUUCCAAUCCGGUUGGGACUGAUUUUUUGGUGGAUGUAUGGGUGAUCUGAAAUAUUUGCAUGCUUACAUGAUACAAAGUUGUCCUUACAUGCUUUUAAACACAUACUUCUCAGUAGUUUAGGGACUGAUUUGAUAAAAAAUUUAUAACUUAGGGACCAAAUGUUUACAUUUUUAAAAAUGGAGACUAAACUGAACACCAACUUAUAACUUAAGGAUCAAAAAAGAAUUUAAACCAUUAAUAUAUAAUUUUAGUAUAUCUAAAUAAAAAACUAUCUCUUGAACAUAAGUAAAUUGUGUUAUAAUAAUUGUAAUGUUAUAUAUUUUUAACAAAGAAUAAUGGAUAAUCAACAAAAUAGAACUAAAUUGUUUACUUCCAAUAAACAGGGUGAUUUUUAUAAAAUUGAUUUGAUGACUUAUUAGCUCAUAAGCUAUCUUGUCUUAUGAUAGUAAAAGAGGAUCAUUGGUUUUGGCACAUAAUGUGUAGAUAUGCUAGUUUUAGAUUAUUUUCAAAGAUGCAUAUAAUUAAUUUAAAGUUUUCAACACUGAAAAACUUCAAAUUAUUAUUGCGAUGAAGUAGCUAGUCACACUAUAAUCAAUUUUUGUCCAAAAAUCUACGAAUAUUAUUUACUAUUCAUUUGUUAGAAAGAUUAAAAUUUAAUCAUACAAAUUGGUAACAAUUUUUUUAGGCAUAACUUUAGUGCUGUUGUUAUUAAUUGGUAUUUUAUAUUGACCGUUGGUCUAGUUUCAAAGUUUAUAUUAGUAUUUCAUAUGAAACUUGAUAAAGUUAAAUGAAGAACGGCACAAGCUAGUCUUAAAAAAAGCAUCUUAAAGAGACAAAAAGAAAAUAGGAAAACAAGCCUUAAAUAAAAGACUUAAUACCAAUUUUGAUCCCUCGAAAGAGGAGUUUUAUUCAAAAUCGUCUUACCUUUUUUAAAAAGUAACAAUUGGUCUCACUUUUUUAAAAAAUUGUCCAAGUUAAUCCUUUUCGCUAACGGCGUAAAAAAUUUAACGUUAGAAUUGCCCACUGGACUAAUGACGUGUCAGUUUUAAUUGAUUGCGUGGCAGUCUCAGCUUUAUUGACGUGUAAAAGUAAAAUUAAAAUGUUCAUAUUGACAUGUACUGCUGUGAGAGAGAGAGGUUAAAAAAAAUGAGAUUAGGGUUAGAAGCAAAAUCGCGAUUAAACUUUCUGGUGCAAGCUUCUUAAAUUGAGGUGUGGUUCAAGGUGAAAAACAAACAACGAAUUGAAAAGAGUAACAGAGGUUAGUAUAUUAUGUUGUUAUAUUUUGUGAAUUUCUGUUAUUGUUUGUUUAUGAUAAUUGUCGCAUUUUGGGGUUUUAAGUAUGGGUUAAAGUGUUUUAUGGGAAAAGUUGUCGCAUUUUGAGGGUUUAUAGUGGUCCCAUAGAUCGUAGUAUAACUUAAUGUAGUGGUCCUCGUUUGCAUUUGCAGGGUUAGGGUUGGGAUGUCUGAUGAGAGGUUUCAGGUAGUGGUCCACCACGGUGGGACCUUGAUAAAAGACAUGCCAUUUAAGUAUAUAGGUGGGGAGAUAGCUUAUUGGGAUGUUGACCCUGAUAAAUGGUGUUAUUUUGGAAUAAUAGGUUCACUUAAACAUCUGGGUUACAUUCAAGUAGAAGAGUUAUAUUACAAUGUUCAACAUGUAUUACACAAGUUGUAUGAUGAUAAAGGAGAUAUGAACAUGAUGAAGGUGGCUAAUUAUUUGGGGAAAGUAAACCUGUAUGUUAUACAUAAGGUGGACAAUCCAGAGGUAGUAGGAGAUGAUGUCAAUGAUAUGCUUUACUUAUGUGAAGGACCUGCAGACAGUGGUGAGGGUAGUGGGGUUAGGGACCAAGAAGUCGAACAAGUUAAGGCUGUUAAGGAUGAAUUGGAUGUUGAGAAUGAGGGUGGAGUUGAGGUUCAUACUGACGGUGCAGUGGAGGUUGAGAAUGAGGGUGUUGAGGCUUGAGUUGAGGUUGAGAAUGAAGAAGUGGAAGUUGAUAGUGACAUUGGAGUUGAGGUUCAUACUGACGGUGCAGUGGAGGUUGAGAAUGAGGGUGGAAUGAAGGUUGAGAAUGGGGGUGUUGAGGCUCCAAUUGAGGUUGAGAAUGAGGUGUUGAGGCUCUAGUUGAGAUUGAGAAUGAGGGUGGAGUUGAGGUUCAUACUAAGGGUGCAGUGGAGGUUAAGAAUGAGGGUGUGAGGCUCUAGUUGAGGUUGACAGUGAGGGUGCAGUAAAGGUUGAGAAUAAGUGUGUUGAGGGUCGAGUUAAGGUUGAAAAUGAAGAAGUGGAAGUUAACAGUGACGUUGGAGUUGAGGUUCACAGUGAAGAAGUUGAUAGUGAAGAAGAAGUGGAAGUGGACAAUGAGCAUAAACCAGGAAUGAAUGAUUUGAGUUGUGAUGAAUACUUGGAUGAAGACAAUGAUCAUGAAGACAGUGUUGAUGAAGCACAAGAACAAGUAAGGGGUUUGUCAGAUGGUGAAUGGGAGUUUGAUGUGCUCUUAAUGCCACAAAACAGUGGAAGUGAGGAGGGUGAAAUUGAUGAUAAAGUAUAUGUUGGUCCCUUUUCAAAGUAUGCACAAUAGAAGUCAAUGACAAAUUAUAAGUGGGAAGUGGGAGCCAUAUUUAACGAUAAGGAUGAGUUUAAGGAUGCCAUUAGAAGGUAUGUUGUUCAAGCUGAGAGGGCUCUAAAAUUUGUGAAAAAUGAUAAUCGUAGGGUGAGGGUCAGAUGCAUGGAUGGCUAAUGUAAGUGCCCAUGGGUAGCUUACUGUGGGUAUUUGCCAUCACACAAACUUUGGCAAUUGAGGAAGAUAAUUGAUACCCAUACUUGUAAUAGGAAACUUAACAUUAAACUAAUGAAUGCUAAGUGGUUGAGUUAGGAACUAGAUAAGUCUUUAGUUGACAAUCCUAAUUUAAAGGUGAAAUACAUACACAGUAAAACAUUAAGGAAAUGGAAUACGAAUGUGACAAUUUCCAAGGCAUGAAGGGAAAAGUUAAUUGCAUCAAGACAACUUGAAGGAGAUUUCAAGGAACAGUUUAAAAGGAUCUAUGACUAUGGACAUGAGUUGUUGAGGUGUAACCCAGGGUCAACAAUGAAGGUUAAAGUUGACGUGGUUAAUGGUGACCCAAUCUUCAAAAGAAUAUAUGUUUGUCCCAAAGCUCAUAAAGACAGUUUCAUGGCCGAUUGUAUGUUUAGAUGGAUGUUUUUUGAAAGGUCAGUACAAGGGGGAGGUGCUUACUGUUGUUGGUAGGGACCCAAAUGAGCAAAUGCUACCCCUUGCCUAUGCAGUUGUAGAAGUGGAAAACAAAGACAAUUGGAGCUGGUUUUUGCAAUUAUUAAUUAAAGACCUCGGGGGAAAUGAAGUCUGUGGGAGGUACACGUGGAUGUCUGACCAGCAAAAGGUAAAUGUGAUCCUUACAUUACUAUAUAAUUUAUGCUUUGUUACAUGUAACCCUUUCAAUAAUUAUUUCAUGUGAGUAGGGAUUAGUGCCAGCUAUCCAGGAGCUUUUUCCUGGGAUAGAACAAAUACUUCUCCUAAGGCACCCUAUGCCAAUUUUAGGAAAAGGUUUGGUGGUCAAAUAUUAAAGAAUUUGAUGUGGAGGGCUACCACAUGCACAUAUCCCCAGGCUUGGGAGAGAGAAACACUGAAAAUUAAAGAAGUCAAUGUUGAAGCAUACAAAUACCUCAUAGGCAUUCCCCCAAAGUAACCCAUUGCCCAUUGCAUGCACAUUUCAGUCACUCAUGCAUGGUAACCUAUUUUGGAAAUUUUUGUGUAACAGAUUUUUGUCAAGAUCUCACUUCACAGGUCAAGCAAUGUGUGAUACCCUAGAUAACAACAUCGGUGAAGCUUUCAACAUUGUUCUUUUUAAUGCUAGAGGAAAACAAUUAUCACCAUGCUGGAGGAAAUCAGAAUUUAUCUCAUGAAACGAUGGGCCACUAACAAAAGCAAGGUGACAUAUAUGGAUUUCACAAUAUGCCCAAAGAUAAAAAAAGCGAAAUCGAAAGGAAUCAACUUUAUCAAGAUUUCGGGUCCAAGGUAAUAGUCUCAAUUAUGUUCAUAUAAAUUUAUGUUCAUAUGAAAUUGUUGACGAGAUUAAUUUAUUCCAACUGGUCUGCGAGAAAGAUUUUUGAGGUUAGUCACACUUCAUCCAUUAGCAACAAGUUCACAAUGGACCUAAACACUAAAGACUGUAACUGCAGAAAAUGGAUGAUAAGUGUCAUCCUAUGUUGUCAUACAAUUGCAGCAAUUAACUACUCCAAUUUAGACCCAAAAGAUUUUAUACCUGCUUGCUUUAGAAUAUCCACAUAUGAAGAGGCGUUUCUAUAAGUUUUCCAGUCAAUGGCCACUUGCUAUGGGAAAGAACAACGUACCCUGAUGUACUACCACCAGUUAAGAGGAAAUUGCCAAUGAGGCCAAAGAAACAAAAAAGGAGGUUGAAGCCAUGGGAGCUAACUAAGGAUGACACCCAAAUGCAUGUUGGUGGACAUAGAAAAAAAUGUAGCAUAUGCCGUCAGAGGGGCCACAACAAAAAUAAUUGCCCUUUACGUCCCCAACCAGCAGAAACAACAAACCAAACAACACAAACUCAACCAUCAUAGCCACCUCCAAGUAGCUAAUCUCUUGUACCAUCACAGGCACCACCAGGUAGCCAAUCUCGUGCAGCAUCACAGGCACCACCUUGUACCCAAUCUCCUGCAACAUCAUAGGUGAUGAGUCGAUAUUUUAUUGAUUUCACUUAGUUAUUGUGCUAAAAUUAAUCAGGGAAUUGUGCUUAAUUGUCUAGUAUUUUCCGGUUUUUCCUAAUUAUGCUUAAUUUGACCGGAAAUUCUAAUUUUAAUUAAUUUGAAUUUUCUGAGCUAAUUAUUUGCAUUAUUAUUUUCAGGGAAAAUUUUGGAAACACAAGUUGGGACAUUCGGAGGAGACAAAAUAAAUUGAAGACUCUCCAAAUAGACAUUUUAAAUUUAGUUAUAUUGUAAUUUAAUUGUUUAAACUUUUUGGACAAACUUUUGCACAUUGAGCCAUUGUUAAAAAUUUAUGUUGGGCCCAAAGUUGUAGGACACUUAUCACCCUAGGAUUUUAGGGUGGACCCCACCCAUUUUAAGACACACAACCCUAGAGAGGGAACUUUUUUUUUUGGAGCCGUCACAUUUCAUUCUGCAGGGACAGCUGCUAGAACGUUUGACAACAUUUGAUUUUUUUUCCUUUGAGCAAUGUUAAUGCUAAUGGACUUUGGUUGAAUGAAGUAUUUAUUUUCAUUGAAUGAAAAAUAGGCCAGCUGCCACUUUGAUUUUGCUUUCAUUUUGAUUCAGUACUUUUGCAUUUGGUAUUUUUAUUUUCUUCAUUUGAUUCCAAGCACGUUGAUUUACAUCCUGCAUCCUUGCAUAGAGAUAGCAAAGUUCACGUCAAUUCCAGCUGCUGCCGCAUCCAGUUUUUGGAGAACAACGUUUUAGACCAAUUUAUUUGGUUUUAAAAGUGGUUGCUGAUUCAUGGAGAAGAGACACGGUACAUUUAAUUUGCUUCCAGCGUGAUUUCUUUUUGGAGGUGCAGCGCGGUUUCUUUUUAUUAAGCUUUACUCAUUUAUUUUUUAUUAAGCUUUUUGUCCCAUGUCUCUGUUUACAUUUAAAUGGUUAGCUCUACAUUGCAUUAUUGCAUUUUUAAAUUGGUUCACCAAAAGGAAUUGGAAAUUAUUAAUAUAGGAAAUUCAUUCAGCAUUCACGGCCUUUUAAGUUGAUUUUUACUUUUAAUGCAAUUUCUUCUUUUAAUGCUCAUCAUCACGGUAGUUAGUUUUAGUUGCUUUUAGCUUCAUGCAUCUUUAGCAUUUCUUUCUUUUCUUUUUCUUUUUUUUUAUUCUAAGUUGCAAUUUCCAUUUAAAUUAUAAUUUAGCAAUUUCAUUUCAAGUUUUGUUGAACUCAAUUGGUUCACAUGUUUUCUUUGGCAUUUCAAUUUUAUUUCCCUUACAAUGAUGUAUUUUCUGAUUAAUUAAUUUCCUUUUAAUUGAGUCACAUAAGUUUUCCUUAAUUUAUUUGUGAUGUUAGCUUAGGUUAGUCGGGUUGGUCGUUAAUAAGAUUACUUUGUUUCAAUGAGAUUCUUGUACUUUAAUUGCCAAAUUGCUGCUCUGAUUUAACUCAAUAUUUAAUCUGUUGUGUGCUUGCGAUUAGGUAUACGCUUAGUUGCUUAAUCGGUGUUUAAUCUUCGCUUAAUUGAUUGGACUGCAUGAUGCAUGACUGAUUGGAUUUGAGCAUUGCAUUCGCUUAGUUUGCGAUUUUGAAGACCGAAUUAGCCUUCACUUAGUUGGGUGAUUCGUGUCGGAUUUGGAUUAGAGUAGUUUAUACCUGUCAUUAAUCUAUGAUUGGAAGCAUAGUAAUUGAGUUAAUGACCAACCGUUUUUUUUUUAUUCUAUAUUUGAUUCUGCUUUUAAAUUUCCAUUUCUACAUUUCUGUUUUCAUUUCUAAUUGCAUAUGUGUUUUAAUUUAAUUCAUCUACAUUCACAACCCUUUCACAACCCCCCCCCCCCNNNNNNNNCCCCCCCACGUCAUGUUAGACCUAAUUCUCGAACCACAAAAUUGGUCCUUGAGAGACGACCUAGGAGUCAUUUCCUAGCUAUACUGCAUUUCUCAUAUGCAAUCAAAUUUGUAUGGGGUGCGACCUCCACCAAUAGGCACUACCAAGUCCCCAAUCACCCAAUCCACCAACAUUGAGAAAAAACUUACAUUUUAGAAGAAAACCUACUUAGAUAGUCAUGUAAUAUGGUGCAACAAUUUUAAUUAAGUAUUUUGGUUAUGUAUUGUGAUAAUGAUCUUUUUUUGUUGACUUUGAUGGUCAUGUAAUGUGGUGUAACAACUUUAUUUAAGUAUUUUGCUAAUGUACUUUCAUCUCCUUUAAUUAAUAUUUAUGUCCUUUAAUUACAGAAAACACUUUCAUACAUUAACCUGUGUCAAUGUUAUGUAACCAACCAUGUCAUCAUCAUAUACAAUAAGGACUAUUGUGAAUAAUUUUAAACCAAAUGAGGGACUUAUUCAAACAUAAAACAUUGACUUAAAGUCAAUAAAAUUGACAAUGGUCAAUGUUAAAUAAUACACUGCAGGACUGAACCAAGACACCUAAAUGUAUCCAUUGACAUACACAUUGCCAACCUACUUAGAAUAAGCAUUACAUGAUGCAUUACAUCAACGUCAACAGAACAUACAAAAACACAUCCACUUUUUCCACCUAACAACAUCAACCUAAAAACACUCACUUUGUCUACCUAACAACAUCAACCUAAACAGAACCUUAAAAUCACAAGGUUCAAUGCAAUAGAAAGAAACAAAGCUAUAACUAAAAAUGUUAUCCUUUUCUACAAACCCUUCACUAAAUUUUCCAGAUCAUUAAUCCUCCUCCUUUGCCUCGCAAUUGUAUAAUUUUUUUCAUCAACAUCUUCUUCAGAACACUAUUUGAAAAAGUUACACGAGCUCCGCUUAAACAGCCAGCCUGUUAUUCACCAAGUGAGGAAAUCUAUCAAAAAAUGCAUAAAGUGAAGGGAACAUAAACUGAAAAAGGUAUACUUAAAACCUUGUAAUGAGGACAACCCCAAAAACUUCUACCACCAUUUUUGAUAGUUCUCGCGACUUGGGUUACAGUAAUAUCACCACCAUAACAAAUAGGAAUCAACCCACGUCCCCUCCAACCACCACCAUGGGACGAAUGUGGAGAUCCUUUGCUCCAUCUAUUCGAACAAGAUGAACACCCUUGGGAAGAAGCCAUCCCUAUCUCCUAACAAAUCCUAACCCCUCUUUUUAACUUCUGUAAAAAAAAAAAAAAAAAAACUCACCUAAUCUAUUUUUUCUUACACUUUUAACCUCAUUGCCACGAAACUGUCACGCAAUCACUUAACAUUGACAGCUCAUUAAGUUUAGUUAAGGGGGCAACUGCAACGUUAAAUUUUUUACGGUGUAAAUAAGGUAGGACGAUUUUGAACAAAACCCCUCCUUCGAAAGACCAAAAUAGGUAUGAAGCCUAAAUAAAAUAAGUGUUUUUUUAAAAUAGAUAAACUUCACAUCUUAUUUUCAUUCACUCACAAUAUCUUAACACACAAGUUACAUAAAAGAAAGGGAACAAAGACAACGGUGAAACGUGAUAUAUAAACACUUUAAUGAUUAGAAUUUAAGGUUUGAUGAAAUAGGAAGAGGAUUGUAAGAAAUGGGAACUACGACUAAAUCCGUUUUUCUUCUCGAGAAGGUUCCCAAAGCUUCAGUCAUUUCCAAGUUUUCCUUGUUUCCAUAUGGAAGUUCCCAAUUAAAAUAGUAAAGUAGUUGUGCAAGACAAAGUUCAAUUAUAUUUAUCCCAAAAGACAUGCCAGGACACAUUCUCCUUCCAGCACCAAAGGGCAUGAAUUCAUGAUGGGACCCUUUAUAAUCGAUUUCACUGUUCAUGAAUCUCUCAGGAUAAAACUUCUCUGGAUCAUUCCAAUAAUCAGGGUCUCUUGCGAUGGCCCAUGCAUUUACUAUCACUCUAGUCCCAGCAGGUAUUGUAUACCCUUUCACCUCACAAGUUUCUCUACAUUCCCUUGGAAGAAGAAGAGAGAUAGGAGGGUGUAAUCUUAGUGUUUCUUUGAUCACUGCUUUCAAAUAUUUUAGUUCUUCAAGUGAUUCUUCAUUCAUGUAUCCUUUGCUACCAAAAACUCUUCUAACUUCUUCCCGAGCUUUGUUCAUUACUUUUGGGUUUUCCAACAUCUCUGACAUGGCCCAUUCUAUAAUUGCAGAUGAUGUAUCAGUUCCAGGAGCAAACAGGGUCUACACUAGGAAAAUCAAUUCAAAUUUAUUAGCUUUGGAAUUUAUACUCGCAUGCAUAUGUUACAAAAUUUUCCCAUAAAAAGGGAACUCCUAAGAAGAAAUAUUUAUAGAGUUACGCGAGUGUGUGUGUAUAGUUCUUUUCAAAAUAUUAUAAGACUGGAUAGAAUUUUUUGUGCCUUUGAUUAUUUAAUUUUAUAUUGACAUGAAAUGAAGGUUGGUCUUAAAUCCUAUAAUAUGCAGUAACAUAAGCAAAUAAUUACUAAAAGUAAUGCACACACUCACCAACAUCACAGCCUUGAUGUUAUCGAUUGUCAAAGGAUAUUCGAGGCCACCUUGAUUUUUGAAAUUUAGAAUAACUGAGAGGAGAGUAUUAUUAACCUCUACUUCACCAAUAUUUUUUUCUGCCUCUGUAAUGAUGUUUCCAAUUAUUACAUCAUAUUUUCUGUGCAACUUCUCCAAUAUAGGUUUCUGCCCACUGAUCACAUGAAGCCAUUUGUAAGAAGGGAACAAAUCAAAAAUAGCUAAACGUUCGGCCAUUUGCACAAGUUUCUUGACAAGGGAAAUGAACUCUUCUUGAUCCUUGCAUUCUUCACCAAAAGCUGCCCUUGCAGUGAUGGCAUUUGUCAGGCAUGAGACUUUCUCACUGAGGUUCACACAAGUACCAGUGUUGGUCUCAAUAUAUCUUACUAAAUUCAGCACUUCUUCUUCUCUUAUUGAUCGAAAUGACCUCACACGUAUGUUGCUUAGAAGCUCUUGUGAGCAUAUUCUUCUUAGCUGCUUCCAAUACCCCCCAUAUGGUGCAGUGGCAAUGUCAGUGGAGCCAUAACACAUGAUGUCUGCGCCAAUUUGAUGGGGUCUAUGAGCAAAGUUGGCAUCAUAGGUUUUCAGGACAUCUUUCGCCACUUCUGGAGAAGAAACCACGACGGCUGAUGCCUCACCAAUUUGUAGGUGCAUGAGAGGACCAUGUCUUUUAGCAAGUUCUCUCAUGCGAUGAUGUGGUAGAGAACCAACUAAGUGGUGUAAGCUUCCAAUGACAGGUAGCUUCCAUGGCCCUGGGGGAAGCUUCAAUCUUUUCACUGAGGUUUUGGAUCUGUUUCUCACUUUAAGAAACUGUGAAACAAAAAGGAUGAAACUCAAUGAAUAUAGAAAAAAGGGUAAGAAUGAGAUCAUGUUAUAAUCCAUUAUGAAUUUCUAUGGCAAAUGAACAAAGAGUAAGGUUUAUAUAGAACUUUUGCUCCACACCAUAGCUUCAUCAAUGGGUUGUUGUUUAAGAUAUUAAAAAUAAAUACUUUUGCUUCUUAUUGGUUUCAUUCAUAAUUUUGUUUUCCUAUUUAAAAAUAUCAUCACAACUUCCUUUCUAAGUCCUUUUGUAAGUGAUAUGUUUUUGAAGAAAAAGAUCCUCAUUUAUAAUAUUUAUAAGUUUAAAUCAACAUUAACGAUUUGUUAUAUUAUACAAUGAUUUGGGAUAUAAUUUUAUAUUAAUUUACACGUUCGGUACCUCUAAAAAUCUGUAAUGAACUUUCAUUAUAAGCCCAGAUCCUAAAUUAUGGGUAUGCCAACCCAUGAACUAUAUUAUAUUACCACAUUUUGCAUUACUUAGUGAUAGAAUAUAUACUUAGGGUGAAGUCAACAUAAUAGGCACAUGGUUUAUUAUAAAAUAAUAUCAGUACGUAAUUUAAAAUACAAUUCUUAUUUUCAGUAAACGUGAUUUAUAAAUUAAAAAUGCAAAAUAAUCACAUUUUUUCUUCACUCAUACUUUUUUUCUCUCCUGUACAAUCUUAGCAGAUUUUAUUUUUUUAGUUUUCUCCAACUUUGUUUUUCUGGUUUUUCCCACCUUCGUUUUAAGGGGUUGUUUUUCCUUAAAAACUUACAGCACAAGUACAAAAAUGGGAGAGAACGGGGGCGAAAAGGAACCGAGACGAGAUCACAAAGAGAAAGAAAGAGAUUGCACACGAUAGAAAUAUUAUAAAUGUAAAUAUAGAAAGGAAAAUGAGGAAAUCAAGGUUCAAAUACAAUGGGUGUGUUUUGAAAAAAUAAACUUCACAUUUUAUUUCCAUUCAAUAAUGGAACAAUGAUAAUGGUAAAACAUAUGAUGAGAGGAGAUCGUUUAAACUUUGAAGUUUAAUAAGAUAUCGUCUAAACGAAAUAAGCAUUUAAUUGUUUAGGAAUAACCUUAGAAGAAGCAUUUAAUGCUAUAUCUAAAAUAAAGUCUUAAACAACGUUAAAAUAGGAAGACAUAUAAUGAAUAUUUUCUAGAUGUAUUUCGUACCAUCACAGUUGUCCUAUCAGGACGUAAUGUAACUUUUGACUCUACCGUGAAAAGUAUAUUUUAGAAAAUAGUCAAAAGUUGAGUAAUAAAAAAAAAAAGUAUUUAGCGGAGAUUAUUUUGGGAAAGUUAUAAAAACUCUAUGUAAAUUAGCAUGAUUUAAAAUGGUUAUGAUGAAUUGUCGAAAACCUGAUAGUAGUGGAGGUUUUAAUUUUUUUUUUAAGAACUUCAUAAUUUACACAAAUUAUAAUACAUUUUUAUUUUUAUUUUUUCGUUUUUCAAUCCUUUCCUUCUAAAAUUUUAUCCCUUUAAAUUUUCUCCAAAUUCCAAAACCUAAACCUAUCUUCAUCAAACCUAAAUGUGACUUUCUAUUGUUACAACAAUCUGUAUCACGCAUAAAAAAGGUUUUGGAGAUAGUGUGUUAUGGACAAAAGCCAAGAGGAAAGGGGUGAAUUGGUUCUUCUAAAAAUCGUGAUUUUCUUUUAGAACUUUUAACAAACAGUUGGCAGCUUAAAAGUGUUGAGAUAUAGAAAAUCACACAAAACGUUUUAUCCUGGUUCAAAUUAAAAGAUUCUACGUCCAGUCGUUAAUCACUAUAAACAGUGAUUAACCUUUUUCACUAAAAUGUAGUUAUACAAGUUACAAUCGAAUAAGCAAAUAUUAAAGAAUAGAAAACAUCUUCCUUCGACAAACGAAUGGAAGAACUUCAACUCAAUCAACUUUAAAGAGAACUGAUUCGACCAUAGACACACUAAGCACAAACUUCUCCUAUUCACAAGACUUGAUUGAGCACACUAACACUUGAGAACUUCCUCAGACUCUUUCUGUAUUCUCAAAUGGCUUAGUUAAACCUCUAAGAGGCUUAGUAGAAAGUAUAUAUAGCCUAAAGGUCAAAAACUAGAAAGUCAACUCCUAACUACCAGUGAUAAUCGAUUAUCACAAGUAAUAAUCGAAUAUUUGUGUCCGUUAUGGGGUUUUCAAAAAGUGAUAAUCGAUUAUCCUGAGGAAUAAUUGAUUAUUUGUGCAACUUGGACAAUACUGAAUCAGAUAGAGAUAAUCGAUUAUUGUGAACAAUAAUUGAUUAUCUGCAUGGGCAUGUCUUUUCCAAAUAAGCUCGUGAUAAUCGAUUACUACACCAGAUAGUCGAUUAUCUACAUCAACAAAUAUAUUCUUAUACAAUUAAUUCUACAAAAUGCUAUUAAAGUAAAUACAACAAGAAUAUUCAAGUCUUCAUCUUGUAACAUCAUCAAAACUAUAAUAUCUUUAAGAUGUAAAUGCUCCUCAUUGGUAACAAUCUCCCCCUUUUUAAUGAUGAUCAAAAAGCUCUUGCUUAAAAGCAUCUUUAAUUUCCUGCACAGAUUUCAGACAUACUAACAUGUUAGUACUAACUGAACUAACUUCGAUGUUUUCUCCCCGUUUUUUAUCAUAAGCAAAAAGUAAAUAAUAAAGUCUCCUCUUAAAUUGUUGCUCCCUUCAACAAAAGAAUAGAGGCAUUUCAAGACAGAAUAAAAUUUAAAUGUUCAUAGCAUGAAGGAACAAAGUACAUAAUGGAAUAUAAGAAAAACAUAAAUUCAACUCUAAUUAAGAAAUACAAGGAAGAAUUUAAAAAGGAGGGGUUGGAGGAUAACUAGGAGGUUGAAGGUUUAAGCGCUUCUCAAUGUUGCCCAGUCGAGUAUCAAAGUCUUCAAACCUAUCACAGACAUAAUCGUGAUGAGUUUGCUGCAUUUCAAUGAUUUCAUCAAAUCUUGCUUGAUGAGCCAAACUAAUAUAUUCCAUUUGUUUCGAGACAUUUGCAAAAUACACUUCCAUGGAAAAGGAUGAUGAUGAGGGAAUGGCAAAGGGUCCAACUGCAGAUGGAGCAGCUUCUCUUACAGGUUUAGCCAUUUGAGCAUCCAUGUCAUCAUCUUCUUCAUCUUGCUUUUCUUCAUCCUUAUGAAGAAAAAUGUUUCCACGAGCAACAAAACCCAUUUGGCGUAGGGUUGUUUCUCCAAUUCCUGUGCCAAUAGAUUGAAUGGCUUGAGUAUGCCUACCUUCAACAUUCACUCCUUUAAAUUUAAGAAUGAGAGAAAUAAGGAGAGAAUAUAGGAGAUGAUAUAGGUAGAGAAUUUUUAGGCCUUGAGCAUGGUAUCAGUAAUCAAGGCAGGCCAAUCAAUAUGAACAAGGUUUAAAAUACCAUAGAGAAAGAGAAGAUCUUGCUCAGAGCAUUGAGCAUGAUUUAUGGCACAAAGGCACAUGAUCCAAACAAUCAGGUAAUGGAUCAUCCACUCCUCCACUAUGAAGCCACCCAUUAAAAAUUGGUGUCGAUUGGAUUGUUGUUGGGGAUUCCUCAAAAAAGACUGAUAGGCGAGCAGGCGAUUGAAUUCUAGAACACCGAGAUGAACUUUCACUUCAUCAUCCCAUAUGGUGAGUAUGGCGUCAUUUGUCCAGAUUUCGUCAUCAAGAAUUAUUCGAACUCCUUUGACUUUAGUGGUCACAAUGCCAUCACAAUAACGGAGUUUGUGGUAGAAUACCCAAAUGAGAUCGAGAUAAAUACAUGCCUUUUGCUUAACCAAAUUUGUUAGACCUUGGGUUUCAAAUAAAUUGGGAAAUUGAAACCAUAAAAUCUAUAUUAAUCUAACCAUACAUACUUGACCCCCAUGAUGCGUCGCUCUUGCAAAAGUGAGCAAACUUAGCUUGUUUCUCCAGAUCGGAGAUCCAUCCUUCAAGAGUGGCAGGAUGGGGAGUUUGAGGACGAGAGGAAGAUGCACCGCCAAUACAUCUUCGUGUGGGCAUCUUGCGCCUUCCAUCAACCAUGAAGAUCAAAUAGAGUGUAGAAGGGAAAUAUGAGUAAAAGAGACUGAAAACAUUGUGUAAUUUUGAUUUUGGCAUAAUUUCAGUGCAAUGAGGUCAGUAAUCGAUUAUAAAUGAGUAUUUAUAAAGGAAAGUGAGAAACUAGUUGUUUAUGGCCGUUUAUAGUUGUUUUGUAACGUUGGAACGACUAUAUUUUUUUGAAUCUGAAUCGACUGAUAAUCGAUUAUCACUAACGAUAAUCGAUUAUCUUGUCAAAAAUAUCUUCCUGAACGGUGUUGAUAAUCAAUUAUUAAUGAAGAUAAUUGAUUAUUUGCGAAUCAAAUGAUGUUUCUAAAAGCCAAAGAUAAUCAAUUAUAUCCUUCUGAUAAUCGAUUAUUCACUUUGAUUUACGAAAAACUUAAGGUUUUCAUGAAUUUUAAUCCUUAAGACAUAUAUAACACUUUGCAGAGAGUGCUUCUAUCAAUAGACUACCCGUAUUCACAGGUGAAAAUUAUGCAUUCUAGAAGGUUAGAAUGCAAAAAUUUAUUAAGUCUAUUGAUUGUGAUAUUUGGGAAGUUAUUGCGUUUGGUCCGUCUAUUCCUACUGACAAUAUGCAGGAACCAAAGCCUCGUAUUUAGUGCACUGUUGAAGAGAAGAAAAGAUUUCAAAAUGAUGUGAAAGCCCGAAACAUCAUUUCAUCUAAUUUAACCAUUGACGAGUUUUACAGGAUCCCCGUUUGUAAAACUACUCAAGAGAUGUGGGAAGUGCUAAGAGUAACCCACGAAGGUACAAAUGAUGUAAAGAGAGCAAGAAAUAAUACCUUGAUCCAGGAAUACAAAAUGUUCAGGAUGAAGCAAGGAGAAACAAUAUCAGACCUUCAGAAACGCUUCACCAACAUCGUUAAUCAUCUCAUUGGACUAGGUAAGUCUUUCGAAAAAUGAUGAACUUAAUAUCAAAAUUUUGAAAUCUUUAGACAGGUGGUGGCAUCCAAAAGUGAUUGCAAUUUCUGAGUCACAAAAACUAAACACAAUGACUAUGGCGGUAUUAUUCAGAAAGUUGAGAGAGCAUGAACUUGACCUUGGAAGACUAGAUGAAGAAGAAGCAAAAGUAAAAACUAAGAAAAAGACUCUAGCCUUAAAACCUGAGGUAGAAAGGAGCAAAAGCAAAAUAGAAGAUGAUAACUCAGAAGAUGAAGAAAAUUUGAGACUCAUGAUAAAAAGGCUCAACAAGUUCGUGAAUUCAAAAGACAAAGGAAGAUUUAAAUUCGAAAAGAAAGAAAAUCAAGGAUCUUCCUCAAACUAUAAAUGUUAUGGUUGCGGAGAAAAUGGACACGUAAAAGCUGACUGCCCAAAUCAAAGGAAGAGUUGCCCAAAUCAAAAGAAGAGUGAAGAAACAAAAGAAAAGAAGUCCUUCAAGAAUAAAGAAAGCCUACAUCGCAUGGGACGAUGACAACAAAACAAUUUCUGACAUGAGUAAUUCUGAUGAAGAAGCAAACAUCUGUUUAGUGGCGGAUGACGACGCUGGAAGCAAAGUAAGUAUGUCUAACGAUUUUGAUAAUUAUAGUCAAUUUAGUGAAAAUGAAUUCCGUGAAACUUAUGAUGCUGUAAUAAUAGAAUCAGAAAAAAUUAGAUAAAGCUCAUAAGAAAUUGAAAACGGAUUUCAAAUAAUUAAAAUUGAAUUUUGAAAAUAUUCUUGAAGAAAAUAAAAAUUUAAGUUUAAAUUUUGAAAAUAUUUCUAAAGAAGAUAAAAAUUUAAAAUCAGAUUUUGAAAAUAUUUUUGAAGAAAAUAAAAAUGUGAAAAAUAAAAUUUUAUUUUAUGCAAAGGGUAAAUUUACUAGUAGUGAAGAAUGUGUUUCUUGUGAAAAUUUUAAGAAACUACUAGACCAAAUGACCUUAGGAGAAUGUAGUAAAAAUAAUGAAAAUAUGUUCCUAAAAUUAAAAAUAAACAUAAUAAUAGAACCCGUAGAACUUGGGUGGAAAUAGGAACAACUUAGAGGAACAUAAAUAUUGUAUCAUGCUUUUAUUGUAUGAAAAAGGGUAAUACUUCAAAAAAAUGUAAAAUUAAGCAUUAUGGUGUUCCAAGUGGUAGAUAUGUUUGAGUUGUAAAAUGAUUUCAAUUUUUUCAAACCCAAAGGACCCAUACAAAGUAGUUGGGUACCUAAUGUUUAACAUUUUUUUAAAAUAUUCUAAUUAGUGGAAAACAUUUGAAAUAGAGAAAUUGUGCAUGUUGUCUUUGAUAAAAUUGUAGACCUUGAGGCUGAUAACUUUUUGGCAAGUAUACCAAAUCAUUACAAGUAAGACAAUGAAUAAGUAAAGUAUCAUUCUCCUAAUGAAAUUUGAGUCACGUUAUUCAAUUAGAAUUACUUAUCAGAAUCAAUUAUUGAUGAUAACAUUUUGAUUUCAAUUUGGUAAAAUUGCAUAGAAUCAACUAACAUAAAAAUUUAAGAUUGAAAAAUAUUAUAAAAGAUCAUUGGAAUUGGUCUUUGACUAACAUUACAGUAAUAUCCUGGACAAAAUAUGUUCUCUGUUCAAGCAUUCACAUAAUGGUAUCUUGAUUUAAUUCCUUAAAACAAGUUCUGAAAUUAUCUAUUAAACUAUUAAUUCCUUAAUUAAUUCAACAGAUAAUUUUGCAUUAAUUUUAGAUGUUGAGAAUGACCAAAAGCACAUAAGUUAUUCCUAACGUAGUUACUUUUAGUUUCUUUUCUUAUGUUUCUGGUUCUAAAAAUACUUCCCAGUACAAAAGAACGUUCAAAGAGAAUUAUAGUUUCCUAUAAUCAAAAUCAAGAGUCAAGAAAAGAACAAGAACAUCAACAUAUAUGGCACAGGAAAUUUACAUUAAUGUAUCGUCAUACAACCAAUUCCAAUUAACAGAAAAAAUAGGCUUUUGCUAGACAUCUAAAAUGUACUUUUUACAGUAAUUCCUUGCAGAAAGUGAAGUCAUAAUGUCUUGAAAAGUCUCCUGAUCGUCUCUUGAAGUUCUCCAAAGCUUUUCGUGUUUUUCGUGUCAGAAGAUCGUUUCUGCCUUUCUGUCACGUCUUUUUAAGCCAUUUAACUUCAUUAAUUUGCUCAGCGCACAAGUGUAUGUGUGUUGUGUGAAUGUUUCUACACUAGUACAAAAACAACCUAUUACGCGUUUAUUUUUGGCCUUUAACGACGCAUUUGCUAGAGAUGUUAUAAACACUAAUCACUCAGCUUUAUAAUUAAAACACACUUUAACAUUACCAAAUUACAAAUUUACAAUACAGCAACUUGUAUAGAGAGAUCAACCAAGUUUCAUCAACAUGCAUAUUACAAUUACAUUAAAAACACAUAUAACAAAUAUCAUCCCCAUUAACAUCUUCAACCACUUUUCCAACACAACAACACUUUUUUUCUAAACAAGUUAUUUUCAUCUUUUCAUUAUCAGCUUUUUCCAUCUUCGUCACACUUGGUUCCAUCAUCAUCAAACUUCCACAUGCUUGUUCAUUUCUUCCACUUCUACUCCUUUCUUCUCCAUACAACACAUUUCCUUCUUCUAUUGCUUCUUCACUGCACUAGUGAAAGAAGUUGCAGCCAACGAAAUCUUUGCCCCUACCCUGUUGAACGAAUAUAGGCAUACUCCCUCUUCAAAACCGAAAAAAAAUAAACAAAGAUUUAUGCUUAUAUUAAACUGACCUUGAAGUUAGGGCAACCCCAUAAUUUUUUGCCCUUGUUUUUAGGGGUUCUCGUAAUGCGUAAAACUGCAAUGUGACCACAUAAGCAAGUGGGUUUUACACCCAACCUCCUAACAAUGUCAUUACUGUGUUGGAAGUCUGAACCCAAAUACCUGGAAGACGAAGACGAACGAGACAUUUCCUACACUACAUAGUGCUUCGAAAACCCUUCCUCCCCAAGACGAACACAAACAUAAAACACUCGCUACCAACAAUAUUAUUAUUCCUUGUGGAUCAAAUUUAAUUUAAUGCACAAUGCCAACCGAGGGUUUAUUAAACCAAACAAAAACAUAAGAAAAGCAAAAUAACACCAAAUAUAGAAAAAAUAUGAAAAUAUAACCACGAAAAGUAUAUACUAAAAUUUCAAACAGAGUUGAAACAUAGAAAAAAAAUACUAAAAUAUAUUAAAAUAUUUCAUUAAUUUAAGAAAAAUGAACUAAAAUGGAUUCUUCUUCCUAAUCUGAGUCAGAUCAUAGACUCAUCUUCUGUUGUGUCGUCUUCAUCAUCAGAUUUACUCGUUGUAGUUUCAACUAAACUGUCUUCAACUAAUUUGUUGUGAAUCACGAUCAAAGAAUUUUCAGCAUUUGAAAUUCUUGUUGAAAGCCUUCGAAAUUGAUCCGCAACAAAUCUUUCAAACUUAGUGUGUGGAGUGAAGGUAGGAGGAGUUACGUCAACAUCCUUGAACACCUAGCCAUCUUUUGUUUUCUUUAGACCAUUAAAGGUCAAUGACGCUUUUCCUAUUUCAUUUGAUUUGGUGCAUCCAUUUUUUUUUCACCAGUAAGAUCAACUUGAUGAUGCUUCAAUACACUACUGAUAAAAACACCAUAUGGCAGAUUAUGUCCAUGCCUACUUACAAUUUCAAUCAUGUGCUCACUCACAAUAGCAACCCAGUCGGUUGGUAUCCGUGUUUUUAUGGCAUGAACGAAAAAUAAAUCUUCAGUAGUUAGACGAUCACGUAUAUAUCUUCCAGGUAGUAUUACCCAAGUAAUUACAAAAGCACACAACUUUUCUUCCAUUUUUAAACCAUCAAGUAGAUACGGCUUGUAUACCUUCAGUCCUUUUGGAUUUCUCAGAAAUUCCUUAUAAAUCUUCUUCUUGUUGGUCCAUUGGUUGAGUUCAGAAUUUCUUUCAUGAGACCUGAAGCCUUGUGCUUUGAGACCAGCAAAAGAUAGCCAUAUUUCAUCAUCAAUUUUAAUAUCGACACCUUUCACCACAGAGCAUAUAACACCAUCGACAACCUUCAGAUUGUGGUAGAACACUUCUACAAGGUGAGGAUAGCAAUCAUCGGUCAUUUCUACAAAUUUUGCAAGACCAACAUCUACAAGCCAAUCUUGAAAAAGAAACCUUUCCUUUCUGAAUAAUUCCAGAUCCAUGUACUUGUGAUGGACCACCUGGAAGAGUUUUCUAUAACAUCCAAAUUUGUAUCGUGUUUUAUCAUCACUUAUCCACCCAUUUGGACUAGCAUUUCUUACAACCUGUGCAGCCUUCUUUCCACGCCAGGAAGAUGAAGAAGCCAUUUGAGAAUAGGAUCUAGAGGUAUACGAAAAGGUUACAGUUUCAAUAAAAGUUCAGAAGUAUAUUUAUUCAGUUUCAAUAUAACUUCAACAUAAAAUGUCCUAUAUCAUUACAACUCCACGUUCUAUAGUUGAAAUACUUGGAAGUUUAAAUCAAAAUGUCGAAGCCCCAUAAAACUCGACAUUCAUUGAUGGUAAAUAUUUAAACUAAUGCGCCAUUCUUUUAUUUUUUUUCCUUUUAAAACAAAAAUAGUAUAUCCAUAUCUAAAGCAAUGCACGUAUUAUUGUGAGCCAGAAGCCAAAGAGUUACUCCCUUCUUAAUUCUUUUUACUUUUUUCUUUUAAACCACCAAGAUUACGUUGAAUUUUUCGGGGAUUGACAUAUUAUUUUUCUGCUAGAAGCCAAAGAGUUUCUCCCUUUUUAAUUCCUUUUUCUUUUUAAUCAAACAAUAAAUGAAGAAUUACUCCAUUUUUAAUCCAAUAGUAAACGAAGAGUAGCCGAAGAGUUUCUUCCCUUUUUAACUCCUUUUUCUUUUCAAUCAAACAAUAAAUGAAGAAUUACUCCAUUUUUAAUCCAAAAGUAAACGAAGAGUAGCCGAAGAGUUUCUUCUCUUUUUAAUUCCUUUUUCUUUUCAAUCAAACAAUACAUGAAGAAUUACUCCAUUUUUAAUCCAACAGUAAACGAAGAGUUGUAAUACUUGGACGUUUCAAUUUAAAAAGCACCAAUAAUACGUUGUAAUACUUAGACAUUUUAGAAGUAAAAGGCUACGAGUCUGCUCAUUUCAUUGUAAUGGAAGAAUCAGUUCAAAGAGAUAACAAAAGACAAUGCACAGAAGAUGACAAUUCUACAAUUUUUCCAAUCAAAUCACUUCCCACAGACUUAUUGCUUAAUGUGGUUGCAAAGGUAAGUUCUUAAUCUUGGAUUGAUCAUUACAACAUCAAAGUAUGUUGUAGAGACUUUUUGCAUGCCACAUAAGACAAUUAUAUGUGGCAGCAAAUUUCUUUAGAAAAGUUUUCGUUGAUUUCAUGGUCAUGUAAAGAAGCAAGGGCAUUUGAUAUUUUCAUGCAAAGUUGUAAAGAGGGUGGAAACAUUGAAGCUUUGUAUAGAGAGGGAUUAAGAGAAAUAGCUAGAUAUAAGGGAAAUAUUGAAAAAGGCAUUAAUGACUUGAAAAUCGCUGCCAAAAAGGGUUAUCUUGAAGCAAAAUAUGUAUAUGGUUUGAUCUUUUUAUGUUCAUACGAUAGUGAUUUAAGAAAAGCAGGGGUUGACUAUAUGCAAUUUUUGAGAAAUGUCAACUGUGUUGUAAGGUGUAGAAAUAAGUUAGUAACUUUGUUGAGUAAUGUAUGGAGAAAACCUCAUGGAACACUGUUGAACAAUCCAACUCCUUUAUGUUCCCAGAGACAAUGCAAUGGUUGGAGAAUGAAGAAGUCUAUUUCUUGGGAAAUAGUGGAUACUGAAGAUGAUGAUGAUGAUAUUAAAAACUCGUGCGAAAAUUGUAGGUGGGAUGUUGAGUUAGAAUUUUUUUAUAAUCUUUUAUUCUAUUAGUAAUGAAAUUCUAUUGUAGGUGGGAUGUUUUGUAUUAAUCAUCUCUUGAAUAUUAAUGAAAUUCUCUUUUGGAAAACAUUAGUGAAUGGUGAUCGAAUUGUUUAAAAUGAUUAAAUCACUUUUAUGAUUGCAAUUGUCCAUUUUAAUUUUACAUCAUUACAUUGCAUGCAGCAGUAUAUCAUAUAUGUUACUGUUAAACACCAAUAUUACGUCGAAAGAUAAAGUUAAUCGACAUAAUAUUAAGAUAUGAACGUCGAACAAAGGGAAGUCGACGUAUUAUUUAAUAUUACGGCAAAAGUCUCUCCUUUUUUUACUUUUAUCUUUUUUUCUUUUUCCUUUUUAACCUGAAAUAACAUGUCGAUUUUGAAAAUAUUCAACAUCCUCUAUUAAUUCCUAGAAGGAGUUUAUGAAUUUUAUGAUUUCAAGUUGGAGCUUUUUGAAAGGCUUUGGAGUUGUUACAAGAAAUUUUAUAAAUUGAUGUCUACUUAUUAAUUACUGUUGGGAAAGGGCUGAUAUGGGCUUCAAUAAUAAAAGGCAGUCUACUUAAAUGCUAUGGGAAAAUGCAGUCUCCAGACUUCUCAAGUGUCUUUUUGGUUUAAUUCUUUUUUAUUUAAAUCCAACAAUAAACGUCCAAUUUCUUUAGCAUAUGACAUAUUAUUCGUUAUCCGAAGGCAAAGGUCGAUCUUUUUUUUUCUUUUUCCUUUUUAAAUUCCCAUAGAACGUCUAACUCUAGGGGCUUCAACGUGAAAGGCAUGUGAGCAUUAAUUUUGUGUUGUUACCACAAUGGUUGUGAGCAUUAAUAUUGACUCUAUAAAUAUAAUGCUUAACUCAUACAACUCCACGCUCACUUCAUCUUCUUCGUCCUCGCCUUUUUUCUACGUGGCAUUGCAUUUCCAUGUGCGUUUCAUCUCUUUUGAAUCGUUUAAACUUACUUUUACUCCGAUUAAAUUAGUCUUUGAUGGAUUAUCUUCCAUUUGAACCGAUUAAAAUGAGUUUUCGUUGUGUUUUGGUGUAGUUUUGCUCGUGUCUUUUGGUAGCGUAUUAGUACCUUCCCCCUUUAGUAGUUUCCUAGUAAGAAAAGCUUGCGUCUUUUGGUCUCUUAUGGUAUUUCAACCAAAACCGAAUGCAUAGGCGAAUUCAAUGUUAUAAAGUUUUUUUGAAAGGAAAAGAAAAAUUAAUAAAAAAGAAACUAAAUAAUAAAACGUCGUAGACAGUAUAAAAUGACGUUAUAUGGGUUGAUUUGAAAGAAAAGUAAAAGAAUAACUACUAGCUGAAGGAGAUAAUAGAAAACAUAAAGAAUAAAAAAUUAAAAGAUGGAGUUCAUAGGAGAAAUUUUAUGAAUGGAUGUCUACUUAAAAUAAUUACUGUUGACGUCGAUGCUAGUUUCAAUUGACGUUUUAUUGGUUGAUUUAAAAGAAAAAUAAAAGAAUAACUACAAGCUGUAAUAUACAAUGUUCAUCUUUUGUUAUUAUGACGUCAUAUUAUUUAAAACAGAAUUUUGUAUUUAUUUAUUUUGUAUUGAAUGUCAAUUGUUUCCUUAACUGAAGUUAAUUAUGUGAUUACCUAGGUUUCGUACACUAAGGCCCAUCACGUCAGACCCCAAAUUGUUCGAUGUUCUACAUUGGAAAAAACGUCGAAACCAUAAAGUGGGCAAUGUUCUGUCUGGUUUAAAAGAGAAAAGAAAUAAAAAAAUAAAAAGCGGAUUCACUCUCUGUCACAUAAAACGUCGAAUAUUUAGCAUGGUGGACGUCAAAUGUGGGUAGAGUGAUACUACUGGAAGCAAAACCACUAUUUCGUUAUUUUUUUAUUUUAAAUUGAACGUAAGUUGUUUCUCAAAAUGAUGUUAAGUGUUUCUAAGGUCAUUGCUUUACGUCGUUUUAGCCCUUGUUUGAUGUUACCACAAUUUAGAUUACGUCUUUAUGAUCUUUGCUUGUCGUUAAUAAAUAUUGUUCGGCGAACAGUUUCAACAGAGGACGUGGAGCGAUUGAAUUUAUUUACGGUAAUGCCACCGGUCAUUUUUAACAUUGCGAAAUGGGCGGUACCGCGUGACGUUAUAGCCCAUUUUUCACCAGUGCUAACUACUACUUCUUUAACUGGUGUUAUUCGCUCAACGCACAGGUGAUGGUGCGUUGUGAGAAUUUCUUCAUGCUAGCUCUAUGAAUUUUGGCUUGCACUUAGCGAGAAUUGGCUGAUACAGUCCAAAUAAUACACUCUUUCCUUUUACAUAACAUUCUACUUCCUAUUACAACUUUCAUUGAGUAAUAACAUAUCCAGAUGUAUUACCCCCAAAGAAAAGGGCAAUGCCAGGAAGGCCCAAGAAAAAAUGAAGACUACAGCCUUGGGAGUUGAAGAAGAAUGACAGGGAAUUAAGAAAGGUUGGGAGCAAAAAAACAUGUGUUGUCUGCAAAGAAAUGGGACACAACAAAAGAUCUUGUCCACAACGACCUAUGCCUCCUGACCAACCUACUCAACAAACAGAAGUGCCUCCUCACCAACCUAGUCAACAAACAUAAGUCACAAUACCUUCAACACAUGUCCCUGCUGACCAACCAACUCAGGAGUCUACUGUGUUUCCUUCUCAUCAAUGAAGUCUUAUUUACUUCCAUUUUGAAGACAAUGUUUUAAAUAUCACGUAAUAUGUAUUGAUGAAGGAACAAUGUUUUAAAUAUCAUGUAAUCUUUUAGUGUAAUUUGAUUAGGUUGUUAUCAGGUUUUUAUGCAUUGAGUAAGACAAUGUAAUUUGCAUUGGUGUUAUAAGAUAUAAUAAGACAAAGUUAUCAGGUUUUGUCAUUGUAAGACAAUGUUUGUUUUGUUAUAAGAUAUUAUAAGACAGUUUAUUGACCAUUACGUAUUGAUGUGCUGAUCAUUCUUGUAUGUUGGUUAUUGACCAUUACGUUUGAUGUUACUUGUGCACUUUCUUUAACUUAUUUUGUAUUAGCAAAGGAAAUAUAACAAAUAAGACAAAUAAGACAACAGUAUUAAACACUGACAAGUCACCUUUAUAAAUAAAACAGACAUUAAUCAACCUUCCACUAACAAUAAUCAACCUUCCACUAAAUAAUCAACCUAGUUUCAUCAACAUUAAUAUCACAGUUACAUUACAAACACAUAUAAUAACCACCAUCCCCGUUAAAAACUUCAACCACUUUUCCAGACUAACAACAGUUUUCUGUAAACAUGCUAUUUUCAGCUUUUCAGCAUCUUUCUUUCUCUUCCAUCUUCAUCAAACUUCCACCCACUUCUUUAUUUCUUCCACUUUCUUCUACACUGACUACAUUUCCUUCAUGAAUUACAUCAUCACUACACACUGAAAGAAGUUGCAUCCAGAAGAACAAUCUUCACUCUAACCCUAUCUAAGAAGAAAACACAUUCCGUGAACGCAAUCUUUACUCCCACCCUCUGGAACAAGAAAAAAACCACAUUAAAAGUCAGAUUAUUGCAUCCAUUAAACUUACCUUGAACUUGAGGCAUCCCCAAAAUCUUUUGCCCUUCUUUUUAGGGGUUCUUGCAAUGCGGAAGACUGCAUUCUAACCACAAAAGCAAGUGGGUUUUACACCCAGCCUGCUUACACUGCCACAACUCUAUUGAAACCCCGAACCCAAGCAUUUGCAAGAAGAAGAUGAAGCAGACAUUUGAUGAGCUCAAGUAUAAACACUGCUUCCACGACUCUGCUUCCAGCACUCUUCCUCCCCAACACGAACAAGUAUAAACUUUCGUGCAAUUGCUCAGGGUUGAUUUAAAUAUUAGGGCUUGGGGCUACCAACAUAAAAAAUUUAGUUGUCCACGUGGAAUGUUUCAUUAUACAAAAGAACACCCAUUCAACUUAAUACAUAUUGCCACGCAUAUAAAAAUAUUUACAGCUCACCUUGUGUAGACGGCGUCAGCCGAAAGUUAACGGAGAAGGCUUUAUUGUCUCAAAUUAAAAAAUAUUUUGAUUCAAUUGGGACAAAAAAAACGAGGAUCUAAUUGAGAUUCAGGCACAAAUAUAAAGACCAAAAGACAUAUUUAACCUAUAUUUUAAUUAACUUUAUAAUUUUAAUGAUAACAGAAAUGAAUACUUAACUUUACAGUCGUAUGAAGAUAAAAUAAACGAAAGAAAACAUGCAAAAUUAAAAAAUUAAUUUACAUUAUGAUUUUCUAAAAUAAAAAUUAUACAACAUUGUGAAGGGUUUUUGUUCAGCUCUCGCUUUCCAUUUUAUUUAUAAAGUUGUGUUUUCACUAUAAACUUUAAUUUACAAACAUUCUUUUUUAAAUUAAUUCUGUUAAACUUACGUUUAUCUUCAUAAUUUCUUAUUUUAGUCAUUUAGGAGAUUAUCAUAUCACCUUAUCGUAUCUGUUAAACUUAUAUUAUUUGUGUGAAUCAAAUAAAAAUAAAAUUUUUAAAAGCUAAAAUUUUCAUAUCUGAACAUAUUACAAAAGGUAAUAUAUGAUAUAUAUUUUUUUAAUUCUCUCAAAAUAGGUUGUAAUACAUGAGUCAAUUCCUAAGUUGAGUUGAAUUAUUUUUUAAUUGAUACAAACUAAUUUUGAAUUCCAACCCACCUAAUUUUUUUAACAAAUAUUUUUUAUUCAGUUAAUCAUUUUAUAAAAUAUUGAAAUAGAGACUCGUGAAAUUAUCUUUAUGGAAUAAUUAGAUAAUAUGAAAAAUUUACAAAUCUAUAUUUAGUAAAUAAAUUUUUAUGUAGAAACAAAUUAGAAUCCCUGUGAAGCCAUUAAAAAUUUGGGUUAAAUAUGUUUUUGGUCCCUUUAACUUUUAGUGAAAAUAGAAUUAGUCCCUCUUUGAAAAUUUGGACUAAUUUAGUCCCUUAUCUUUAAAACUGCAUGAAUUUAGUCUCUUUAACCAAAUUUUGUUAAGUUUAUUUGAGGUUUCAGAUGCAUUUCUCAGUUAACAUUGAAGAAAAAAUGUGUUAAACAGUGUAAACAACUCAAAUGCUAUCAUGAAAUAGGUUUGAAAUGUCAAAUAAACUUAAUAAAAUUUGGUUAAAAGGACUAAAUCCACAUAUUUCUAAAGUUGAGGGACUAAAUUGGGCCAAAGUUUCGAAGAGGGGCUAAUUCAAAUUUUCAUUGAAAAUUAAGAGACCAAAAACAUAUUUAACCCUAAAAAUUUUGUUGAGGACCAUUCCCCUUUAUUUAUAUCUAAAUUAAAAAAAAUUGUUAUUUUUUUAGAAUUAAAAAAAUAACAAGUAAUUAAAUGAACCAAUGAGCUAACUCAUUUAAUCCAUCAAUCCGUGAUGGGUCACACCAAAUUCAAUUUUUUUCGAAUCAAUAAUAAAUGAGUCUGGUUGAGUUGGGUCACUAGUGUCACUACAAAAAAAAGCUUAUUUAGAGGGGUUUUUUUUUUCGAUUUGCAGGGGUUUUUACCCUCCGCUAAAUGAAUUUCGGGGGUUUUUCAAACCCCCGCAGUUUGAGUCGCCACACUAUCUGCGAGGGUUUUUUUCGCCCCCUGGUAUCACAUUCAAUUUGCGGAGGUUUUUCUGCAGAGGGUAAAAACCUCCUCUAUUACUUACUAUUAUUUUGAGGGGGGUUUUAACCUCCUUUAUAUUUUUUGUCACUUUUUUGUUUAAUGAUUAUUAAUAUAUAUAAUAUUGUUUUUUGUUUGAUGAUUAUUUAAAUAUAUAAUAACUAUCUAUUUCCAUUAACUUCUUUUUUUUUUCAAUUUUAAAAUUAAAUAAAUUUAAUUUCUUUUUAAAAUUAUUAAAUACCAAACAAAUAUGAUUCCUUUGAAUAUAAAAUGAUACCAUACAACAAAAGCCCAUGAAUAGAAAGAAAUUUAGAAAAAUAAAUUGAGAAACAAUUGUAUAAUCACAUCAAGAUAGACUAGAAGUCAAUGUAAUCUCAUUACAGAAGUAGUUACAAAUAAAGAAAUGUUACUCAAUUCAUAAUAAACUAGGUCUAGUUUUAUCCUAAACCAAUAUCAUAAACUUCCUAAAUGUUACUUCCAUCAUAUGAUUGUCUUGUACCCAAAGGAGACUUUGACUCAUUUGCAUCACGAGCUUGCUGAAAUAAUAUAAAAAAAUUAAUAAAAUAAACUCAAUUACAUGUACUCACAUUUUGUAAAUAAUAUAUAAAAAAAUAAUCAAAUAGAAUUCAGUUUUAAAAACAACUAGCUUCCAUCUAAUGAUGUUUUAAAAAAAAUGUCUAAAAAGUAAUGAGAACUCACCUGUGCUGCUUCACAUUUCUAAAAGUUGGAUUCAUCAGUAAAAUGUUUCAAAUUGAACAAACAAUCUCAUUAGCAAAAAUAAUCAUAUAAGAUUUUGAGGUAACCUUUCUAGUGGAACUCGUAGACCUAAGGAUCCUCAUCCUUUCCGUUUUAGUUGAUUUAUGUGCAGCUUCAUUGAUCUUGAAAGCAGGACUAGACAAAGACAAGAUACAUGAAAUCGGACCUUAUAUACAAAAUAGAAUAAUCACUAACUAUUAGCAAUACCAACUUAAAUGAAUGAAGCUUGACUGCUGCUUUGUCUUCUUCCUGCUUUUGUUUGAUUCUCACCACUUGCUCCACCUUUUCUAUACAGUCAAUCUGAAAUUGAUCAUACAUAAGAGAUAUAUAACAACACCCCCCACCUUCGACCCAAAAAAAAAAUUAAGGCUGUAUGAUUGACUUGACAACACAUUUGAUUUUGAACAUGAUUUUGGAAUUUUUCAAUUGGCAAAUGGUCCAGAGAUCUGGACACGUAUUCGUGUCUAGGUCCUAUGUGAAACAGUUUUAAACAAUUUGCAUAAUCUAACUAAACUAUUCUAACAACAAACAUAGUCAAAAUUAUGACAGCAUAAAAAUAAAUUCAAAAUGGUUAUGGUGUAUGAAUCAUGAACAAACUUAAUAUGCUUAUCCAUUAUCCUAAACUUGGACACUUUAUUUUCAACUGACAUGUAAUACCAUAAACUAUGCCAAGCUGCAAUGAAUGUUGUCAUGUGUUUAUUACUUGUACCCCUACAUUCUUACCAUGAUUGUAACUAACAGAAUAUUCUCAAGGCUAGACUUUAGGACAAAAUAGCUUGCAAUCGCUCGUCUAUUUAUAAAGAACUGGAUUUGUUAAUUUAACAGCAUAAAGGCUAGAGAAGCGUACCAAAAACCUUUCUUCAGUUUUUGUCAUGAUAUCACUUUAUCUUUGACAAGGUAACAGAGACUAUAUCAUUUCUUGGGUUUUGGUGUUUGUGAAGGGGAAUCCUACCUUUUAUUGCCAUUUAUUGCUAGUCUAACUAGCAUUAUGAAGGUAGUGUUGGACAGUAGCACAUUUUGUUUGUCUCAAUUAUUUAGGAGCAAUUUAAGUUUUUUGACAUUUUGGUAGGAAAAAAAAAUAACAAUUGAAAAUGAAUAGUAUAAUUUUCUUUAUAAACCAAAAUAAAUUGUUAAAAACUUAAAUUAAGUUAGAAUGACUGAUUCUCAACAUCUUAUACAUGUAAUAAACCUUUACUUAUCUCAGGCAUUAAACUGGCAAGCAAUAUAAUAUAAGUAUCAAAUAGUUAUAAGGAAACAUAAAUGUUUUUAGAGAAUUAGCUUACGUCAAGAACAGAAUUAUUUAUUCCCCUUCUCCUUCUUUUUGUUUUCUUCUCACCACACUUGCAGCCAAAUCGAACAACUUAACUGAGAGUAAGAAAACUACUUAAUUCUGUAUCACUUGAUAAAAGAUCACAUAUACAUGAAGUUAAAACCAUAUCGGUAAUGUAGAAUAAAAAACUGAGCACUAGAUGCUUUAUAUCAAGAAGAUCUAGAUUACCAUUUCUGCAGGAAGAUUGAAAUAAAAAACUUUGUAACUUUUUUUAUUCUCCUUUGCCAAUGUCAAAUAUGUAACCUGGUAAGAGAGGGAAAGCAUUUAAAUUUUCUUGUCAACCAUCCAAAAAAGUUCAUCAUAGUAUUUCAGCUUAUGUUUACAAACAAUAGAAAAAGGCUGACCAUCCCUUCCAUCUUUAAGGUAAACUGUCAACCACAUUGUUGCUUCAAUUUUGUCAAAAUACUUCUCUCGUGAUCAUCAUUGGCACUCUUGUCAAAGAGAAGUCUUCGAGCAAGCUUCUUCCAGAAAGCAACAAAGCAAAAACCCGGUAUUAAUAUUAUUUUUCAAAAAUCUAACANAAACAAAAGGGAAUUAAGGACUAUUUGACNUGCUACAGCAAAAUAGUUGCACCAAGUAACUUGAUAAUUCANCAAACAAACAAAACCCCAUAACCAACAAGAGUUAUUCACAAAACACUCGCUCAGGUAAAAAUCAACAAGAACAUCGUGUCAGUGAAUUAAGGACUAACAAAUUCCAUAAAUCAUAAUAAUAUAAAAGAACCAUGAUAAAAUUAAGUGAAAUGAACGAAUAAUUGGUGUACAAAAACAAUGUCAGCAUAACAACCAUACCGGACAUCAAUAUAUUUGAAAUACGUUGAAUCCAGAAGAUCCACAACAAACGUAGCCAGACUAGUGGAACGAACCUGAUAGCACCAAUCCAAAAGUAGCAAAGUCGGAUCGAAACAACAAUAACAACACUUAUCAACAAAAUUGUCAUAACGCACAACACAAAGGAGAAGUUUGCGGCACAAAGCAGAGUGGAAGGCGCUGCCAUUGGCCACCGUCACGAACUCCAUGAGUGUAUCCAACACGAGUUCCUUGAGUGUCUCGUCAGAUUGUGGAGGCAAGAAUGUCAAGGAGUGACUUGAGGAACUCAUCGAAUUUGGAGCGGAGCCAGGUGAGGUAGAUGAACUCAGACUUGUCAGCAGUGGAGGGAGCAGCCGCGGAGGUAGCGACGGCGGAGGAGAAAGGGAUCUUUGGUAGAAGAGGGAGGAAGAAAGAGCGGAGAGAGUAGGGAUUCGAGGACGUGGUGAGGAGGAGAAAAAGGGGAAGGAAUUUGAGGAGAAGAAGGAGGUUGUUGAUGUGCGAGGCGGAGGAGAGAAGUUGGUUCCCUAGGGUUUUCAACUCUACGACGCUGUAUCUUCCUUUCUUAUUCCUUGGAGGAUCCACGCACGCCAUGGUUCGACGCAGAAAAGGAAGCCUGGAAACACGGGGAAAAAUGGAAUAUGAAACGUAUUAUGAAGUUUUGAAAAUUCAAGGAAUAAUGGAAAAAUUUUGAGCGUAGGAGGAAGAUUUGGGAAAUUUUGAGGGUAGCAGAGAAGAUUUUGGAAAUUUGAACUUAAGAGGGAAGGAUCAAUGCUAUAAAAUGUAUUUUAAUUUUAAGAGGUUAUAAACCUCUUCUAAAAACAAUUAAAACUCCCGUUAUUAUUCACGGUCCAAUAACUCAUUAUAAUAAUUCUAAAUAAUAUUAAUUUGUGGAGGCUUUUUAUAACCUCCUCCAAAUAACUCCCGCUAAAUACUUUUUUUUUGUAGUGUGUUGUGUUCACAUGAACAGAAUUUACUGUUCAUGUGGAUUGGCAACGAUGAAAAGGAAUGGAAGUCGUGUUCACUUUCGCUGAUUUGCAACGAUGGAAUUGAAGAGAAUUGCGAGAUAUUGCCUUUUUAAUCACUUGAAAAAGUGUGAAGAUUUGCAAUGAAUUGUAGGGAAAUUGUUACAAGAAAAAUGACAAUUCUAUACAGAUUAUUAUAUACGAAUUUUUUUCCGUAUAUAAUAAGGAUGUUAUAUACGGAUCUGUAAAAUAGUAUUAUAUACGAAAAAAUCCAUAUAUAAUGAGGAAAAAAGAUUAUAUACAGAUUAUUCGUAUGUAAUAUCGGUAGAUAAUAUUAAUGCAUGUUGAUGAGAGCUUUGUGAGGGAUAAAUCCGUAUAUAAGGUUGUAUGUAAGUAGAAAAAUAUUUACCCACUGAUGUUUUAUACGGAUGAAGGUAAUUAAUUAAAAAAUAAAUGUUAAUAUUAUACAAUAUUUUGAUUACGACUCUCUCGAGCCAAGUUUCUCCCAUUCUCGAGCUAGGUUUCUCCCCUUCUCGAGCCUUAGGUAUUCUUCCUUCUCGAGCCCUAGCUUGCCAUAGCAUCAAUCCACGAUUCUUUCUCUCUGAUUGUGCUGUCAGUCGUUGUUGUGUUGUCAACCCAUCAUUCUCCCUCGUCGAGCCUUCUUGUCUAUGCGACUGGAACUGUGUUUCUGUGUAGCCGAAGGACCAUUCUUCCUCAUUGGACCUGUAGUGUGGCAUUGUAGCUGUCGUUUUCCCUCAGUCGAACCGGAGUUGUGCCCCUACUCGAACCACUCUCGAACCCUAACUUGAAGUCUCCUCUGUCGAACGCAGUGAAAGCCUCCUCUAUCGAACGCACUGAAGCUCUUUGAAGCACUUAAAUGUGGUUGUGCGUCGUUGCCGGAACAAUCUCAGUUCAGCAAACACUGUCGUUCGACCUCCGUGGUUCGCUAAUUAAUCCAAACUUCCUUCAUUUUUAUAGUAUCUAUAAUGUUACAUUGACCGAUUAUUGUACUUUAUUCUUUGGAGGAUGGAAAUCCCAAUUUGUGAAACCCUAGGUUGGUUUGUUCCCAGUGGCAGAGAUAACCUCGAGCUCCAAUUGCCUUCUGUACCUGGUAAGUAUUAAUUCGUAAGACUUGGGUUUGUGUUUAUUGGAUAUUAUUGAAAAUGGGUAUUGUCUUCUCAUGAUGACGGUCUAUUUUAGUACAAUUAUUUAUUGUAUGUCUCGGUUGUUAGUGGAAAUGAUCUGGUUUAAUACAUGUUUUAUAAUCUGUUAUAUUGUGUUAGCCUGAUGAAUUAUAUUGUGUUAUAUUGUGUGCACUCUUUUGAAUUAGUCUGAUGAAAAACCUCCGCCCAAUUGUACCAUGUCUUAUGGUUCUGUCUGAUGAUUAAAAUGACAGCGAAAGAGACUGAUUUUUGUUAACAAGUGCUGGAUAUGUUUAUUUGAAACAAGGCUUUUCCAAGUACAUGAGGAACCUUUGUCUAGCAAGCAGAGCUAUGUUGCUUUCUGGACCUGCAGGUAUAUUACUUACAAGUUCUAUCUUUCCAUCCAAAAUCGAUUCAUAAUUGUGGUUGCUUUAUCAGCCAAAGGUUGCCCAAGCUUUAGCUCAGUGCUUUGGAUCGAAGUUGUUGUUACUAGACAUAAUUGACUUCUCCUUGGAGGUACUUAUUUACAUCUUUUCCCUGUGAUUUAAAUUACCACAAAUAUAGUCAUACAUGUCAUGUUUACCUUUUUACAAAUGUAGAGGAAAUAUGGAUGUCCCAGAAAAGAACCGGUAAGUUUUGUUUGUUCCAUAUUUUGCUUCUGCUUCAAGAUAAAUCACUAUUUAUUCACCCUGUCUUAAUCUAUUUCUAUACUUUGUUGUUACCUGCACGUACACAACCAAUUUAUUUAUUGAAUUUGAGAUGAUUUUGAUAAUUUGUUCAGUGAACUUUUUUGUGGAUUGUUUUUGGUUCCCUGAGCUGAAGUGCUCAUUUAUUAAUGUUUUCUUUUGAAAAGAGCAGUGAAAACAUUUAAGUGUUGGUUUUUGGGGUGAUUUUUCUAACCCGUUUACUUAUGACCGCAUUUUAAAAGGUCCAUUUAUGAGGUGACUGUUCAGCGAGUGUCGGGUUUGUUUGGGUCCUUUCCAAUCUUCCCUUCAACUAGCAGAACCAGAGGUACUGUAGGAAGUUGAACUUGAGCUUUUUGGAAAUGUUAUUCUUAUUUUAUGAUUACCUGUUAUGAAGUUUAGUUUAGUCAUCAUCAAUUAAAAAUGGUGAAUUAUUUGAAAUGUACGAACUGAUUAUUCUUUUUAUUUUUGCUAUCAAUAUCUCAAAGUGGUGCUCAUAAUUAUUGAGGGUCAUUAGUUGUUAUAUCAUCUAUGUCAUCUCUCUAAUGUUUCUGAAUUUGCAUUGACUGAUUGUAUCUUCCUGUUAUUGUCGAUUACCUAGACUGUGUCAUCUAUGUGAUUAAUUAUCAUUUCAUGAUAUUUUGAAUGCUAAUUUCUUCUCAGGUACACUACUUCAACAGAGUAGUGAAAUUGAAAAUUCUAGCAAUCCUCUGAAACUUUGUUGGAAUGCCUCUAGUGCAGGUUGAUGAGUUAGCUCAAACCCAUCCUUCAUUUCUGACAUUGAAGAGUGUGGAUCUUUCCCCAACAAGUUGGUUUCUUGGUGAGCAUAGUUUGUUGCUAUCUCUAAAGAUUUGGUAUUUAACUGAAGUGAAUCAUGUCAUGUCAUAAUGUGGUUGAUCUCAUGGCAAAGUUCAUCUUAUCUUGUUAAUGUUACUUUCUAUCAAAUGAUUAGCCUCUGUUAAUUUCUAUAGUACAUAGAUGUUAUACUGAAUUUUCAUCAUUGAAUAGGUACCCAAUUUAUAUUGUCCCAAGUCGAAACAAUGAAAAGGAAUUGGAAGCAUGCUUCCUCACUUACCAUACUCUGCCAUCAUCUUUCGAAGGUAUCUCAAUCUUUUUGUUUUUCCAAUCAAUAAUUGUAGUUCAAAUUGCAGUAUUUUCAAAUAUUAUAUUAUCGGAUUGUGUUCAAAUGAGUUAUAUAGUUUAUAGUUUUAUGCUGUUUAGUUUAUGUAGGCAAUUGUCAGUGUUGCUUCUUGCAUUAUUCAUGUUAAACUUUUUGUUCCUAAUUAUUUCUUUUUGAAUUAGGGGUGGCCUAUACAAGUUGCUUCAUACCCUGCCUCCGAAUGCUUCUGAGUACAUUUUACAAGCUCUGAAACCAAGGUAAUCAAGUGCAUUUUACAAGCUCUGAUAAGUAUUUGAUUGGAUUCUUUCUUGCAUGUUACGUGUACUUCGUUUGAUUUUGAAUUCAUAUCACAUCAAUUACCCAAAUCUUUUCUAAAAAAAGCAUGAUGAGUAAAAUAUUUUAAUAAUUUGAGUGUACACAUAAUUCAUGGUGAAUUUGAGUACAUAUCUUGAAAUUAAUAUAGUAUUUUAUGUUAUUUAUGUUCUGAAAAAAAUAAUGAUUAAAUUUAUAUUUUAUUCCAUAGUUUUUUGUAAGUAUGGUGAUAUUUUAAUUAAGAUCACUACAAUGCAUGAACCUAUCAAUGACUUUCCUUCAAAUAGUUUUUCAUUAUAAAAUUGCUGUUAGCAUUGAUGUUUCAUAGUCACGCUUUCAAAUUCCAAUCAACAACUAUUCCUCAUUCAUAUUAUAUAUGCGAUCAAAUUUUGCCUUUUACUUUUAUUUUAUUGAUGAGAUUAAUUCUUUGAAGAUGGAUCCUUUCACAUGAUUUUAUUAGCAUAAAAGAAAUAUAGAGCUCUUUUUUAUUACCACAUGGCAUUUGCUUUUAUUACCACAUAGCAUUUUACUUUUUUAUUUUGAAUGAUAAGCCCAAAAUGGAAUAUUUUAUGUUCUCUGUAUGUCUCUCUUUCUAACCUCUCUUUUUUACUUUUUGUCUUUGUUUUGAAAACUAUUUUAGGAACUUAAGAACCUAAGGCCUUAACUGCAUUCUUUUUCAUAAUAUUGUGAAAAAUCUUAUCUUCAUAGUGAAUUUAAAUUAUUACAUUUUCAAAUAUUCAUAAUUGCUUGCUUUAUUUGCUUUCUUGUUGGGCUUGACAUUAUAUGUGGCAUGUAAUAUCCUUGGUAAUUCAUGUUGUUUUUAGAUUUUUUUUUUUCUUUUCCUAUUGACUAAUUAUCACUUGUAAUGGAUAAACUUUUUCAGUAUUUUUAGUGUUCGAUUUAAGUGGAAGACAGUGUAUAUUGUUGUGUUCAACUGGCCUAAUAAAAAAGUUUAAUCUUGUUUUUCUUACCAGCAUUUGUAUUAGAUUCAUUAACCUAACAUACUUGUGAUUGUUUUCAGGAAAAAUUGGCAUUCAUAGAAGAGCUUGAACUUUUUCCAGUCAUGUUAGUUUCUAUGUUUCUUUUUAUAAUUUUAGGUUACUGUUCAUAGAUUUCUUUGUAUUUAUAAUCAUUUAAUUAAUUGUAUUGUAUAUUAUUCUUCAUUUGUAUAAAGGAUCAAAAUAUAUUUUUAAAUUCUUUCUUAAUUGUAUUGUAUACUAUUCUUCAUUUGUAUAAAGGAUCAAAAUAUAUUUUUAAAUUCUUUCUUCAUUUUAGUCUCAAGCUUCUACUUUCCCUUCUUUGAGAUAAUUAGAUAGUGUUAUAUGUUAUCACUGAUAUUAAUAUGAUGUUACUAAUAAUAAAUUAGCAUUAUAUUGAAGUUACAAAGAAAUAAUAUUUGAAGUUACAAAGAAAUAAUAAAGUGUGCAGCUUUCAAGCUAGCUUUUUUUAAUUUAGGUCUAUGUAUGAAUUCCUCUAUAAUUUUUUUUUUAUAAAAUUAUAAAGUUACAUACGGAUUUUUCCGUAUUACAUACAGAUUUUUCUGUAUAUAAUUAUAUACAGAUUUUACAUAUAGAUUUUUCGUAUGUAAUUUAUAUACGGAUUAUCUGUAUAUAACCUUACCUGCGCCACUAUUAUAUACAGAUUUUUAGCCAUAUAUAAUCCGUAUAUAACAUCACUUUAUAUACGGGCUUUGGAGGUUAUAUAUGGAUUUUUUUAAUCCGUAGUGAAUGGUUUUUUUGCCCUUAUUGAAAGCGCGGUACACGGCGAGAGCGUUUCCCUCUUGCGUGCGCAGGGGAGGAGCUGGACGCCACGGUCAACAAUGGUCGCCGGUGACGCCUUGGGCUGAGUGGGAGGUCCAUCGCGUUGGCUGGUCCGGUUCGGUUGUGGCAGAGUGAGUGCGUGAGUGACAGAAGUGGUGGCGUAUGUGCAGCGGAAGCAAACCCCUUCCUAGUUGCCAUUUUCGAAGGAAACCCUAAGUCUCUGGAAAGCUGAAAAGAGUGUAGAAUGAGGGGAAGUUGGCAGAACCCCCACUGGGUUUCUAGGUUAGAAGGGACUUUGGGCUUUGGUUUCUAGGCCAGUUUUUUCUAAAAAAAAAACAAAAUCUCUUUUUCCUUGCACCUUUUUUCUUUCAAAAAUACCAAAAGGUUUAGUGUAUAAUUUGAUAGAUGUGACAUAUAAAACAAUUUGUUUAAUUAGUAAAAAUUGAAAAUUACUAAAAUGUUCCUAGUUAUUAAAGUAAUAUAAAAUAAUAAUUAUUAAUGUUAUAUUUAAUUGUAAAAAAAUUUAUAAGAAAAAAUUAACAUUAAUUAUUUAAGUAUUAAAAUUUAAAUUUAAGAGCCCAUUUAAUAUUAUUAAAUUGUCUUUUAUUUAUUUAAAGAUUAAAUUAUAAGGUUUCUGAGUGGUUAUUAAUUUAAUCAUCAGACAAAAUCUUGAUUAAUUUUUAAGGUAACAUCAAAUGCUAUUAAAUAUUUAUAUAUUAGAAUAUAAAUUUUAGAAGAAAUUUAAUACAUCAAAUGUAUUUUAUAGGUUAAUAAUACUGCAUUAAUAUUGAAUAAAAGAAAGAUUAUAAAGAAAACAUAAAAGAAAACUUUUUCUUUCUUCCACAAGUCCUUUGGAUAAACAGACAGGCAAUGCUUUAACUCAGAAGAAAAGGGUGUGUGUUUGGUUCCAAAAGCUCUAGAGAAUAAGAUUGGAUGAGCCUCUCUAGCUUAUUUCUGUUUUUUCCUCACUCUAUUUCUCAGAUCUAUUACCACCCUUUCUGCAUUUCUUCUAUCUCUUACAACUCACAAUCUUUUCGUCCAUAUUUCCUGGCAAGACAUGAGUUAGGAGAUUUUGAAGAUACAGGUGUGCUCUUUCCUAUCUUUCAUCAAUAAAGUUCUAACCUAUCUCAUUUUAUUUGUUUAUUUUCAAGCUUUUUAGUUGUUGUGCUGCUUUUCCUUUUCUUUUUUCAUCUUGAGAGAGUCAAAUUUUUCGUGGCUCACAAAUACCCUUCAACAGGGCUAUCAGACCGUUUUCACAACACUAUUUUUCUUUUUAUUAAAUAACAACAUUUUCCUGUCCACAGUAUCUAUUAACUAAACGUUUAAAUUAGAGGUCAAAUUAGUGUUAUUAUUGUAGCCUGCACGACACAGUCUCAGGUUCGAUCAGAGGUGAAAUUUUCUUUCAUUAAUAUCCAACUAUAAUGACUCAGCAACACUAAUUGAUUGAAACCCUUGUUUUCUUAAUGAACAAGCCAACGAAUAAAACCACACGCCUAAGGUCAACGAACAAACCAUGUGUAAGGGUGUGUUGACUUCAACCUAAUUAUAUAUAUUCUAUCAUUAAGUAAUGCAAAACAUGGUAAUAUCUAAUAUACUUCAUGGGUUGGCGUACCCAUAAUUUAGGAUCGGGACUUAUUAUGAAAGUUCAUUACAGAUUUUUAAAGGUACUGAACGUUUAGGACAAUGAUAUUUUAACAAUUCUUUUUUAACAACUUUUUGACAACAGGACACAUGCUACAAUUUUAUUGUUCUGUUUGAAUUUUUUCUAAAAAAAUAUUUGAAACGGACCAAUCAUAAACUGACAUGUAUGUGUUGUCAAAAAAUUGUCAAAAAAAUGUUGUUAAAGAAACUUUUUCAUUUUAGUAUCUUAAACAACACCUAUAAACCUUUAACUCUUUGUUCACUUGCCAUAGAAAUUCAUAAUGGAUCAUAAUUUGAUCUCAUUCUUACCAAUUUUUCUAUAUUCAUUGAGUUUCAUACUUAUUGUUUCACAGUUUCUAAAAGUGAGAAACAGAUCCAAAAACUCAGUGAAAACAUUGAAGCUUCCCCCAGGGCCAUGGAAGCUACCUAUCAUUGGAAGCUUACAUCAUUUAGUUGGCUCUCAAUCUUAUCAUCGCUUCAGAGAACUAGCCCAAAAGCAUGGUCCUCUUAUGCACCUACAACUUGGUGAGGUAUCAACCGUUGUGGUUUCUUCUCCAGAACUGGCCAAAGAUGUCCUGAAAACCUAUGAUGCCAUAUUUGCACAAAGACCCCAUCAUAUUGGUGCAGAUAUCGUGUGUUACGGUUCCACUGACAUUGUCACCUCAAAUGGGGGGUACUGGAAGCAGCUAAGAAGAAUAUGCUCACAAGAGCUUCUAAGCAACACACGUGUGAGGUCAUUUCGAUCAAUAAGAGAAGAAGAAGUGUUGAAUUUAGUAAGAUAUAUUGAGACCAACACUGGUUCUUGUGUGAACCUCAGUGAGAAAGUCUCAUGCCUGACAAGUGCCGUCACUGCAAGGGCAGCUUUUGGUGAAAAAUGCAAGGAUCAAGAAGAGUUCAUUUCCCUUGUCAAGAAACUUGUGAAAAUUGCCGAAAGUUUAGUUAUUCUUCACUUGUUCCCUUCUCACAAAUGGCUUCAUGUCAUCGGUGGACAGAAACCUAAACUGGAAGAGUUGCAUAGAAAAUAUGACGAAAUAAUUGGAAACAUCAUUAGAGAGACCGAAAAAAAUAUUGGUGAUGUAGAGGGUAAUAGUCUCCUUUCUGUUCUUCUAAAUGUUAGAAAUCAAGGUUCCCUCGAAUAUCCUUUGACAAUCGACAACAUCAAGGCUGUAAUGUUGGUGAGUGUGUUUACUUUCAGUUAUUAUUUGCUUAUGUUACUGCAUAUUGUAGGAUUUAGGACCAACCUUCAUUUAAUGUCAAUAUAAAAUUAAAUAAACAACAACAUAGAGGAUUCCAACUAGUGUCACUGAUCGUGUUCUUUGUGGGAAAGUGUUGUAACAAAUGCAUGCAAGUGUAAAUUCCAAAGCUAAUAAUAAAUUUUGAAUUAAUUUUCCUAUUGUAGAACAUUUUUGGGGGUGGAACUGAUACAUCAACUGCAACUAUAGAAUGGGCAAUGUCAGAGAUGCUGAAAAAUCCAAAAGUAAUGGCCAAAGCUCAAGAAGAAGUUAGAGGAGUUUUUGGUAGCAAAGGAUACAGCAACGAAGAAUCACUUGAGGAACUAAAAUAUUUGAAAGCAGUGAUAAAAGAAACAAUGAGAUUGCACCCUCCUUUCCCUCUUCUUCAUCCAAGAGAAUGUAGAGAAACUUGUGAGGUAAAAGGUUAUAUGAUACCUGCUGGGACCCAAGUGAUGGUAAAUGCAUGGGCAAUUGGAAGAGACCCUGAUUAUUGGAAUGAUCCAGAAAAGUUUAAUCCUGAGAGAUUCAUUGAUAGUCCAAUUGAUUAUAAAGGUUCCCAUCAUGAAUUCAUUCCCUUUGGCGCUGGAAGGAGAAUAUGCCCUGGCAUUUCUUUUGGGGUAAUUACUAUUGAACUUUGUCUUGCACAAUUACUUUACUAUUUUAAUUGGAAACUUCCAAUUGGAGACAAAGAAAACCUGGAAAUGGCUGAAGCUUUGGGAGCCUUCUCGAGAAGGAAAACAGAUCUAGUCUUAGUUCCUGUUUCUCAUAAUCCUCCUCCUAUUUCAUCAAACCUAAAUUAAGUUUUAGUCAAUAUAAUGUGUCAAAAAAAAAUGUUAUUGUACAGUAAGUGCGUGUGAUUAAGGUUUUUAUAUCACAUUUCUUACUAAGAUGUGAGGUUUAUCUUUACAGAAAAUAUGCUCUAUAUUAGAACCUUGAUUUCCUUGUUUCGUUUGUUGUAUUCUAAUGUGAAAUUUUAUUAUUCUCUCAUGUAUUUAUCAUCUUUAUUAGAAUGACCAGUAAACUUCUUCAUUUAACCUUGUGAAUGUUAUAUGUAAUGUUAGUAUAAAUUUAACCUUGUUAUGAGAGUGAAUAAUCGACCAAAUACUUUUUUCACGGGUCUUUAUGUUGUGUUCACUUGCGAUGAUUAUAUUAUUCAUGAUAAUUGGCGAACGAUGAAUUAUGCUGAUUAACGUGUUUACUUUAAAUGAAUUGCGAGGAUUGGAUUGUAGUGAAGAACGGGAUUCGUGUCUGUAAAUUUUUAAGGAAAGAGGUGAGAAAAGCCAGAAAAAGAAAGUUGGAGAAAACUAAAAAAAUAAAAGCUGCUAAGAUUGUACGGGAGAGAAAAAAAAAGUAUGAGUGUUGAGUUAGAUACAGAAAAUAAGAAAAAAAAAAGUGAUUACUUUGCACUUUUAAUUUAUAAACCACGCUUAUUGAAAAUAAGUAUUUUAUUCUAAAUUACUGCUAUUAUUUUAUAACAUUUUUUUAAUUUCAAAUAUAUUUACACCUUCAUAUAAGGGGAAAUACAUUUUUUGUUAUUACAACGUACUGUAAUGUUAUUAAAAGGAAAUAAAUAUUUUGUAACUACUUUUUAAUUUUAAUCAAUUUUUUUGUUGUCUAAUAAAAGAUAUUUUCAUUAGACCUGUGAAAAUAGGUCACAAUCCGCAGGUUAAUCCGGUCCACCACGAGUUUGGGUCGGGUUGAGUUUGAAAAAAUUUUAUUUUUUUUAUGUGGGUCAGCUUUCAACCCGACUCAUGCGGGUUGAACCUACGGUGGGCCAGGUUGGCCCACCAACCCACCUACCUAAUUUUAUUUUAUUAAAAUUUAAUUUUUUAUUUUGCUUGAAAAGAUUAUUUAAGUUUCCUAAUUUAAAAUUUAAUUAAACAACCAUGUUGAAGUGAAAUUUGAGAGUGAAAUUUGUUCAUAUUUGAAUUAUAGAAAGUUUGUAAUUUUUUAUUUAAAAAAAUUUUAAUUAAGUGAGUCAGUGGACCAACAUGUUUAUCCACCAACCCGUGGUGGGUCGAGCCGGGUUCAAAUUUUUCUGACUCGCUAAUAAAUGAGUCGGGUUGGAUUGGCUCACUAGAUGACCGACCCGUAGUAAGCCGAAACGGAUCGGAUCAGGUUACCCGUUUGACAACCCUAAUUUUUAUUUAACAAAAAAUGUAAGUGUUGAUGUUCUGAAAUUUUGACUAGAGUGUUUUCUGUGAAGGAUGGUUCGAUCACAUUCUUCUGAACUUAUCACGAACUAUGACACAUUAGAUCUCUAACUAGGUUUUUUUUUUUUUCUGCUUUUGAUUUGGAAUUUUCUUUCUUUAAUAACUAUGAUUGUUGACAACAUCAAUAAUAGAGGCAAUCAUUCUCCAAAAUACAGUAAUUAAUCCAAACCAUUGCUUCCGUAAUGAACAAGCCAACCAACAAAUCAACAUGCCUAAGGGUGUGUUGACUUCAACCUAAGUAUAUAUUCUAUCACUAAGUAAUGAAAAACGUGGUAAUAUCUAAUAUAGUUCAUACGUUAGCAUAUCAUAAUUUGGGAUAUGGGCUUAUUAUGAAAGUUAAUUCAUUAAAGACUUUUAAAGGUACUAAACGUGUAAAUUAAUUGAAAAUUAGAUCCCAAAUCAUUGUAUAAUCAAUAACAAAUCGUUAAUGUUGAUUUAAACUUAUAAAUAUUAUAAAUGAGGAUCUUUUUCUUCAAAAACAUAUCACUUAGAAAAGGACUAGACCUCAAUUUGCUGAAGCUAAAAACUAACUAAUAUUUUUUAAAAUAAACCUGUACAAUACUAACUUAAAAGCCAAUAUUGAAUUUUUUUUUUUUUCAUUUUGACUUAACUAUAAUUUUGCUGUCUCUCUUCGACUUAAUUCGAAACAUAAAUAUAUUGAUCUUCAUAUCUGUUUUUUAAAAUCUUAUAAUUUUAUUGUAUCUUUUAAUUUUACGUAUAUUUUAUAUUUUAAUUAACUAUAUUAUUUCUAAUGAUACCGGAAAUGAACACUUAAUUUAUAGUCCUAUUAAGAUAAAAUAAAGGAAAUAAAAUAUGCAAAAUUUUGGUUAACAUUACUAAACCAAAACACUACUAUUAAUGAAAAUAAUGAGUUUUCAAGGUCAAUUAAGGUUGUAAACUCAAGUUAUUUAAAAAAUAAAGUCAAAUUAAGAUGUAAGAGUGAUUGUAAAUUUUAGUUUAUAAAAUUAAUCAUAAAAAUUGAAUUAAAUUCAAAAUCAAAAUGUUAUUUGAAUCAUCUGAAAUAUAUAUUAAUAAUAUUUAUUAAAUCCGUCACAUCACUAAUAUUUAUAAAUAAAUAAAAAUAAAGAAUAUUUUUGUCCCUGAAUGAAAAUAUCUUUAAUGAAUUUGUUAAUUUUCAAACCUAAAAGUAUUGGUGAGAAAAUAUCCAUUAUCUUGAAAAUAUUGCAAUAGGUAACAUUUCACUUAAAGUUCAAUAAAAGAUGUUGUGAUGAUACUUUUUUAAAUAGAGAAACAAAAUUAUGAAUGAAACAAAUAUAAGCAAAAGAAUUUUUAAUAUCUUAACUAACAACCCAUUUAUGAUAUUAUGGUGUGGAGCAAAAGUUCUAUAUAAUCCUCAAAAUCUUUGUUCACUUGCCAUAGAAAUUCAUAAUGGAUCAUCACUUGGUCUCAUUCUUAGCUCUUUUUCUCAGUUCACUCAGUUUCAUCCUUUUUGUUUCACAGUUUCUAAAAGUGAGAAACAGAUCCAAAAACUCAGUGAAAACAUUGAAGCUUCCCCCAGGGCCAUGGAAGCUACCUGUCAUUGGAAGCUUACACCACUUAGUUGGCUCACUACCACAUCAUCGGUUGAGAGAACUUGCUAAAAAACAUGGUCCUCUCAUGCACCUACAACUUGGUGAGUCAUCAACCGUUGUGGUUUCUUCUCCAGAAGUGGCUAAAGAUGUCCUGAAAACCUAUGAUGCCAUCUUUUCUCAAAGGCCCCAUCAAAUUGCCGCAGACAUCAUGUGUUAUGGUUCCACUGACAUUGCCACUGCACCAUAUGGGGGGUAUUGGAAGCAGCUAAGAAGAAUAUGCUCACAAGAGCUUCUAAGCAACGCACGUGUGAGGUCCUUUCGAUCAAUAAGAGAAGCAGAAGUAAUGAAUUUAGUAAGAUAUAUUCAGACCAACACUGGUUCUUGUGUGAACCUUAGUGAGAAAAUAACAUACAUGACAAGUGUCAUCAUUGCAAGGACGGCUUUUGGUGAAAAAUGUAAGGAUCAACAAGAGUUCAUUUCCCUUAUCAAGAAACUUCUAAAAUUGCUCGAACGUUUAGCUAUUUUAGAUUUGUUCCCUUCUCACAAUUGGCUUCAUGUGAUUAGUGGGGAGAAACCUAGAUUGGAGAAGUUUCACAAAAAAUAUGAUGUAAUAAUGGGAAACAUCAUUACAGAGACAGAAAAUAUUAUUGGUGAAGAAGAGGUCAAUAGUCUCCUUUCAGUUCUUCUAAAUUUGAAAAAGCAAGGUGGCCUCGAAUAUCCUUUGACAAUCGAUAACAUCAAGGCUGUAAUGUUGGUGAGUGUGUGAAUUACUUUUAGUAAUUAUUUGCUUAUGUUACUGCAUGCAUAUUAAUGGAUUUAAGACCAACCUUCAUUUCAUGUCAAUAUAAAAUUAAAUAACAAAGGCACAAAAAAUUCUAUCUAGUGUUAUAAUAUUGUGAAUAGAACUAUACACACACACGCUCGUAUAACUCUAUAAAUAUUAAUUCUUAGGAGUUGCAUUUUUAUGGGAAAAUUUUGCAAUAUAUGCAUGCGAGUAUAAAUUCCAAAGCUAAAUAAAUUUAAAUUGGUUUUGGUGUUGUAGGACAUGUUUGCGGCUGGAACUGAUACAUCAUCUGUAGUUAUAGAAUGGGCCAUGUCAGAGAUGUUGGAAAACCCAAAAGUAAUGAACACAGCUCAGGAAGAAGUUAGAAGAGUUUUUGGUAGUAAAGGAUACAUGAAUGAAGAAUCAUUUGAAGAACUCAAAUAUCUGAAAGCAGUGAUCAAAGAAACCCUAAGAUUGCACCCUCCCGGCCCUCUUCUUCUUCCAAGGGAAUGUAGAGAAACUUGUGAGGUAAAAGGGUAUACAAUACCUGCUGGAACCAGAGUGAUAGUAAAUGCAUGGGCAAUUGGAAGAGACCCUGAUUAUUGGAAUGAUCCAGAGAAGUUUUAUCCUGAGAGAUUCAUGAACAGUCCGAUCGAUUAUAAAGGGUCCCAUCAUGAAUUGAUACCCUUUGGUGCUGGAAGGAGAAUGUGUGCUGGCAUGUCUUUUGGGAUAAAUAUGAUUGAACUUUGUCUUGCACAACUACUUUACUAUUUUAAUUGGGAACUUCCAAAUGGAAACAGGAAAAACUUGGAAAUGACUGAAGCUUUGGAAGGAGCCUUCUCAAGAAGACAAACGGAUUUAGUCUUAGUUCCCAUUUCUUACAAUCCUCUUCCUAUUUCAUCAAACCUUCAUUGAAGUGUUUAUCACGUUUCACCAUUAUCCUUGUUCUUUCUUUUCUGUUACUUAUUGAGAAUCUUAUGAUUCUGACAGUAAUUUUGUUUCGUGUUCUGUUUCUGUUUUUCUUGUUUCCCUUUGUAACUCUAUUAAUAGAGUCUUCCCUUCCCCUUUCAGUUUUUAAGAAACAAUAUGAUUUUUCAUCAUUGAUAGAAAAUAAGAAAAGGUGAAGUUUUUCUUACCUCUNUCGUCGCCCUCAUCAUUUUUCUCUUCUAUGUCUUCUCCAUCGUCGUCGUGUUUGACGGUGAUCGGCAACCUUGGACGCGCUCCUCUCACCAUCGUCAGACGAAGCUCCGCAAUCCUUUCUCUUUCUUACUUUCUUUCGUUUUUCGAAUUCUGCCACGCACACAG
rnacentral:lncRNA from 1 species